UCGUGGCAAGUAUCGUUAUUUUCUGACCUUCACAAGAUGAUUUGAGCAGAUAUGGGUAUAUCUACUUGAUGAAACAUAAGUCUGAAAUAGUUGAAUGGUUCAAAGAAUUUCAGAGUGAAGUGGAAAAAUCAUCGUAACAAGAAAAUAAAGUUUCUGCGAUCUGAUCGCGGAGACGAAUAUUUGAGUUAUGAGUUUGGUCUUCAACUAAAACAAUGUGGAAUAGUUUCACAGCUCACACCACCUGGAACACCACAACGUUAUGGUGUGUCCGAACGUCGUAACCGCACUUUAUUGGAUAUGGUGCGAUCUAUGAUGUCUCUUACUGAUUUACCACUAUUGUUUUGGGGUUAUGCAUUAGAGACAGCUGCAUUCACGUUAAAAGGGCACCAUCUAAAUCUGUUGAGACGACACCAUAUGAACUGUGGUUUAGCAAGAAACCCAUGUUGUCGUUUCUUAAAGUUUGGGGCUGCGAUGCUUAUGUGAAAAAGUUUCAUCCUGAUAAGCUCAAACCCAAAUUGGAGAAGUGCGUCUUCAUAGAAUACCCAAAGGAAACUGUUGGGUACACCUUCUAUCACAGAUCUGAAGGCAAGACAUUCGUUGCUAAGAAUGGAUCCUUUCUAGAGAAGGAGUUUCUCUCGAAAGAAGUGAGUGGGAGGAAAGUAGAACUUGAUGAGGUAACUGUACCUGCUCCCUUAUUGGAAAGUAGUUCAUCACAGAAAUCAGUUCCUGUGACAAAUACACCAAUUAGUGAGGAAGCUAAUGAUAUUGAUCAUGAAACUUCAGAUCAAGUUACUACAGAACCUCGUAGGUCUUCCAGAGUAAGAUCCGCACCAGAGUGGUGUAGUAAUCAUGUUCUGGAAGUCAUGAUACUAGACCAUGAUGAACCUACGAACUAUGAGGAAGCGAUGAUGAGCCCAGAUUCCGCGAAAUGGCUUGAAGCCAUAAAAUCUGAGAUAUGAUCUAUAUAUGAGAACAAAGUAUGGACUUUGAUUGACUUGCUCGAUGAUCAGCAAGCCAUGUUAAAUGAAUGGAUCUUCAAGAGGAAGACGGACACUGAUAGUAGUGUUAUUAUCUACUAAGCUCGACUUGUUGAGAAAGGUUUUCAACAAGUUCAAGGUGUUGAAUACGAUGAGAUUUUCUCACUCGUAUGAUGCUUAAGUCUGUCUGAAUCAUGUUAGCAAUUGCCACAUUUUAUGAAAUCUGGCAAAUGGAUGUCAAAACUGCAUUCCUUAAUGGAUUUAUUAAAGAAGAGUUGUAUAUGAUGCAACCAGAAGGUUUUGUUAAUCCUAAAGGUGCUAACAAAAUGUGCAAGCUCCAGCGAUCCAUCUAUGGACUGGUGCAAGCAUCUCGGAGUUGGAAUAUACGCUUUGAUAAGUUGAUCAAAGCAUAUAGUUUUAUAUGGACUUAUGAUGAAGCCUGUAUUUACAAUAAAGUGAGUGGGAGCACUACAGCCUUUCUGAUUAGUAUAUGUGAGUGACAUAUUGUCGAUCAGAAAUGAUGUAAUUUUUUUUGCAAAGCAUAAAGGAGUGUUUAAAAGGAGUUCUUUAAAAAGAAAAGACCUCAGUAAAAGCUACUUACAUAUUGAGCAUCAAGAUCUAUUGAGAUAGAUCAAGACGCUUGAUAAGAUUUUCAAUAAGUACAUACCUUGGCAAGAUUUUGAAAUAGUUCAAAAUGGAACAGUCAAAGAAAGAGUUCUUUCCUGUGUUGCAAAGGUGUGAAAUUGAGUAAGACUCAAAUCACGACCACAGCAGAAAAUAGAAAAGAGAAUGAAAGUCAUUCCCUAUGCCUCAGUCAUAGGUUCUAUAAAGUAUGCUAUGUUAUGUACCAGACCUAUUGUAUACCUUGCUCUAAAUUUGGCAAGGGAGUACAAUAGUGAUCUAGGAGUAGAUCACUGGACAUUGGUCAAGAAUAUCCUUAGUAAGGACUAAGGAGAUGUUUCUCGAUUAUGGAGGUGAUAAAAGAGUUUGUUGUAAAAGUUACAUCAGUGCAAACUUUUACACUGAUCCAGAUGACUCUAAGUCUCAACCUGGAUACAUAUUGAAAGUGGGAGCAAUUAGCUAGAGUAGCUCCGUGCAUAGCAUUAUGGACAUAAAAUAUUUGCAAAAUACAUACGGCUCUGAAUGUGACAGAGCAAAACAUGAUCACACCUUAGUACUCUUUGGGUGUUAAUCACAUAAGCAAUGUGAACUAGAUUAUUGACUCUAGUAAACCCUUUGGGUACUGGUCACAUGACGAUGUGAAAUGUGGGUGUUAAUCAUAUACAAAUAUGAAUAUUGGUGUUAAAUCACAUGGCGAUGUGAACUAGAUUAUUGACUCUAGUGCAAGUGGGAGACUGAAGGAAAUAUGCCCUAGAGGCAAUAAUAAAGUUAUUAUUUAUUUCCUCAUAUCAUGAUAAAUGUUUAUUAUUCAUGUUAGAAUUGUAUUAACCGCAAACAUAAUACAUGUGUGAAUACAUAGACAAACAUAGUGUCACUAGUAUGCCUCUACUUGACUAGCUCGUUUAUCAAAGAUGGUUAUGUUUCCUAGCCAUGGACAAAAGAGUUGUCAUUUGAUUAACGGGAUCACAUCAUGAGGAGAAUGAUGUGAUUGACUUGACCCAUUCCGUUAGCUUAGCACUUGAUCGUUUAGUAUGUUGCUAUUGCUUUCUUCAUGACUUAUACAUGUUCCUGUAACUAUGAGAUUAUGCAACUCCCGUUUACCGGAGGAACACUUUGGGUACUACCAAACGUCACAACGUAAUAGGGUGAUUAUAAAGGAGUACUAUAGGUGUCUCCAAAGGUACACGUUGAGUUGGCGUAUUUCGAGAUUAGAUUUUGUCACUCCGAUUGUCGGAGAGGUAUCUCUGGGCCCUCUCGGUAAUACAUCACUAUAAGCCUUGCAAGCAAUGUGACCAAUGAGUUGGUUACGGGAUGAUGCAUUACGUAACGAGUAAAGAGACUUGCCGGUGACGAGAUUGAACUAGGUAUUGGAUACCGACGAUCGAAUCUCGGGCAAGUAAUAUACCGAUGACAAAGGGAACAACGUAUGUUGUUAUGCGGUUUGACCGAUAAAGAUCUUCGUAGAAUAUAUAGGAGCCAAUAUGGGCAUCUAGGUCCCGCUAUUGGUUAUUGACCAAGAAUAGUUCUAGGUCAUGUCUACAUAGUUCUCGAACCCGUAGGGUCCGCACGCUUAAGGUUUCGGUGACAGUUAUGUUAUGAAUUUAUGAGUUUUGAUGUACCGAAGCAGUUCGGAGUCCCGGAUGAGAUCGGGGACAUGACGAGGAGUCUCGAAAUGGUCGAGACAUAAAGAUCGAUAUAUUGGACGACUAUAUUCGGAGUUCGGAAAGGUUCCGAGUGAUUCGGGUAUUUUUCGGAGUACCGGAGAGUUACGGGAGUUCGCCGGGGAGUAUAUGGGCCUUAUUGGGCCAUAUGGGAUUAGAGGAGAGAGGCCGAAAGGAAGGAGGCGCGCAAUCCCCCUCUGGUCCGAAUUGGAUAAGGGGUGCGGCCCCCUUUUCCUUCCUCCUCUCCCCCUCUUUCCCCCUUCUCCUACUCCAACAAGGAAGGAGGGAGUCCUACUCCCGGUGGGAGUAGGACUCCCCAUGGCGUGCCCCCUCCUAGGCCGGCCGCCUCCUCCCCCUUGCUCCUUUAUAUACGGGGGCAGGGGGGCACCCCAUGACACACAAGUUGAUCUACGGAUCGUUCCUUAGCCGUGUGCGGUGCCCCCCUCCACCAUAUUCCACCUCGGUCAUAUCGUCGCGGAGUUUAGGCGAAGCCCUGCGCCGGUAGAACAACAUCAUCGUCACCACGCCGUCGUGCUGACGGAACUCAUCUCCGGAGCUCGGCUGGAUCGGAGGCCGGAGAUCGUCAUCGAGCUGAACGUGUGCUGAACUCGGAGGCCCCGUACGUUCGGUGCUUGGAUCGGUCGGAUCGUGAAGACGUACGACUACAUCAACCGCGUUGUCAUAACGCUUCCGCUUACGGUCUACGAGGGUACGUGGACAACACUCUCCCCUCUCGUUGCUAUGCCAUCACCAUGAUCUUGCAUGUGCGUAGGAAUUUUUUUGAAAUUACUACGUUCCCCAACAGUGGCAUCCGAGCCUAGGUUUUAUGGUUUGAUGUUAUAUGCACGAGUAGAACACAAGUGAUUUGUGGACGAUAUAAGUCAUAGUGCCUACCAGCAUGUCAUACUUUGGUUCGGCGGUAUUGUUGGAUGAAGCGACCCGGACUGACAUUACGCGUACGCUUACGCGAGACUGGUUCUACCGCCGUGCUUUGCACACAGGUGGCUGGCGGGUGUCAGUUUCUCCAACUUUAGUUGAACUAAGUAUGGCUACGCCCGGUCCUUGCGAAGGUUAAAACGGAGUCUAUUUGACAAACUAUCGUUGUGGUUUUGAUGUGUAGGUGAGAUUGGUUCUUGCUUAAGCCCGUAGCAGCCACGUAAAACUUGCAACAACAAAGUAGAGGACGUCUAACUUGUUUUUGCAGGGCAUGUUCUGAUGUGAUAUUGUCAAGACGUGAUGAGAUAUAAGUUGUUGUAUGAGAUGAUCAUGUUUUGUUGAAGUUAUCGGCAACUGGCAGAAGCCCUAUGGUUGUCUCUUUGUUGCAUAAGAUGCAAGCGCCAAAUAAUUGCUUUACAUUAUCGCUAUGCGAUAGCAAUAGUUGCAAGAGCAAUAGUUGGCGAGACGACCACGUGACGAUACAUUGAUAUAGAUCAAGAUGAUGGAGAUCAUGGUGUCAUGCCGGUGACGAUGGAGAUCAUGACGAUGCUUUGGAGAUGGAGAUCAAAGGCACAAGAUGAUGAUGGCCAUAUCAUGUCACAUAUUUUUGAUUGCAUAUGAUGUUUAUCUUUUAUACAUCUUAUUUUGUUUUGAUUGACGGUAGCAUUAUAAGAUGAUCUCUCACUAAUUAUCAAGAAGUGUUCUCCCUGAGUAUGCACCGUUGCCAAAGUUCGUCGUGCCCAGACACCACGUGAUGAUCGGGUGUGAUAAGUUCUACGUCCAUCUACAACGGGUGCAACCCAGUUUUGCACACGCGGAAUACUCAGGUUAAACAUGACGAGCCUAGCAUAUGCAGAUAUGGCCUCGGAACACGGAGACCGAAAGGUCGAGCGUGAAUCAUAUAGUAGAUAUGAUCAACAUAGAGAUGUUCACCAUUGAAAACUACUCCAUCUCACGUGAUGAUCGGUUAUGGUUUAGUUGAUUUGGAUCACGUGAUCACUUAGAUGACUAGAGAGAUGUCUAUCUAAGUGGGAGUUCUUAAGUAAUAUGAUUAAUUGAACUUAAAUUUAUCAUGAACUUAGUCCUGGUAGUAUUUUGCAAAUUAUGUUGUAGAUCAAUAGCUCGCGUUGUUGCUUUCAUAUGUUUAUUUUGAUAUGUUCCUAGAGAAAAUUGUGUUGAAAAAUGUUAGUAGCAAUGAUGCGGAUUGGAUCCGUAAUCUGAGGUUUAUCCUCAUUGCUGCACAGAAAAAUUAUGUCCUUAAUGCACCGCUAGGUGACAGACCUAUUGCAGGAGCAGAUGCAGACGUUAUGAACGUUUGGCUAGCUCAAUAUGAUGACUACUUGAUAGUUUUGUGCACCAUGCUUUAUGGCUUAGAAUCGGGACUUCAAAGACGUUUAGAACGUCAUGGACCAUAUGAGAUGUUCCAGGAAUUGAAGUUAAUAUUUCAAGCAAAUACCCGAGUUGAGAGAUAUGAAGUCUCCAACAAGUUCUAUAGCUAAAAGAUGGAGGAGAAUCGCUCAACUAGUGAGCAUGUACUUAGAUUGUCUGGGUACUUCAAUCGCUUGAAUCAAGUGGGAGUUAAUCUUCCAGAUAAGAUAGUGAUUGACAGAAUUCUCUAGUCACCAUCACUAAGUUACUAGAACUUCAUGAUGAACUAUAGUAUGCAUGGGAUGACGUAAACGAUUCCCAAACUCUUCAUGAUGUUGAAAUCGACGAAGGUAGAAAUCAAGAAAGAGCAUCAAGUGUUGAUGAUUGACAAGACCACUAGUUUCAAGAGAAGGGCAAAGGGAAAGAAAGGGAACUUCAAGUGGAAAGACAAGCAAGUUGUCACUCCCGUGAAGAAGACCAAAGCUGGACCAAAGCCUGAAACUGAGUGCUUACACUGCAAAGGAAAUGGUCACUGGAAGCGGAAAUGAUGUUAUUGACUUGACCCAUUCCGUUAGCUUAGAACUUGAUCGUUUAGUAUGUUGCUAUUGCUUUCUUCAUGACUUAUACAUGUUCCUGUAACUAUGAGAUUAUGCAACUCCCGUUUACCGGAGGAACACUUUGGGUACUACCAAACGUCACAACGUAACUGGGUGAUUAUAAAGGAGUACUACAGGUGUCUCCAAUGGUACAUGUUGAGUUGGCGUAUUUAGAGAUUAGAUUGUCACUCCGAUUGUCGGAGAGGUAUCUCUGGGCCCUCUCGGUAAUGCACAUCACUAUAAGCCUUGCAAGCAAUGUGACCAAUGAGUUGGUUACGGGAUGAUGCAUUACGUAACGAGUAAAGAGACUUGCCGGUGACAAGAUUGAACUAGGUAUUGGAUACCGACGAUCGAAUCUCGGGCAAGUAACAUACCGAUGACAAAGGUAACAACGUAUGUUGUUAUGCGGUUUGACCGAUAAAGAUCUUCGUAGAAUAUGUAGGAGCCAAUAUGGGCAUCCAGGUCCCGCUAUUGGUUAUUGACCAAGAAUAGUUCUAGGUCAUGUUCUGCUACGUUCCCCAACACAUAUAUGCUUGUGUUUGCAGGUACCGGUAUUUGAAUUGCGAUAGUUGCCAAUAUUUUGCCGGAAUGUUGAAUCAUUUCCGUUUCGGCGAGAAUUUGGCACUAUGCAUUCUUUUUGGUCCUAUUUUUAGGCAAAGUCAUGCCAAAUAUUUUCUUGGUUCUAAAAUAUCGUUUUGCUCUACCCCGCAGGCGACCAUGGUCCGCACAAUGACCGAAGGCAUCGUGAAUAGGUUUUUGAGCUCCGCAAAGGCCGAGAUGCUUCAAAAGAAUGAGAUGGAGAUAAGAUGUCCGUGUCGAAGAUGCAAGCUGAGGAGCCUUAUGGACCUGGAUUCUGUACAGGUGCGGGACCACCUGCUCUUGCGUGGUUUCAUGGAUGGCUAUCAGUGGCAAGGUGAUGAAGAUGAUUAUGAAGUCGUCCAUGGGGUCCAGGCAAGAAAUGAGGAAAGGCAGCAAGACAACCGCGGCUAGGGUGGGCGAGAAGACGAAGAAUCUCCAGGACAUGAUCACGAAGUAGAUGCAGUACAUAGUCAUCAUGUGGAAGAUGCCGGACAUGAUGAUGAGGAAGAUGCCAGAGCAGACGAAGGGCAUGAUCAUGAAGAUGAAGAUGCUGGAGCAGACGACGAUGGACCAUCGAUGGGCUGGGUGCAGGACCCUCAUAUUCAAGAGCUGCUUCUCAAGCAGACGGAUAACACAAGAGCUGCCGCCCGAGAGAAAGCCAAGCUAGAUAGACGCAGUUACUCCAUUGUAUGAAGGAUGCAGGCCCGAGGAUACCCGCCUGAAAGUAACGCUCAUGGCUCUGGAGAUGAAGGUAAAACACAAAAUGACCGACGCAUGCUUCGACGAGAACAUGUCAUUCUGGCACGAACGUCUUCCCAAGGGGAACAAGUGCCCGACCAGUUUCGAGGAGGCGAAGAAAAUCGUGUGUCCUCUGGAUUUACCGCACGUGAAAUACCAUGUGUGCAUGAACAAUUGCAUCAUUUAUCAGGACGAGCACGCGGAGUCUACCAUAUGUUUGGUGUGCGGCGUCACUCGGCACUAGAAGAGGAAGAAAGCUCCUCAAAAAAUGGUGUGGUACAUUCCGAUCACUCCUCGUCUGCAGUGGUAUUUCGCGGACCCUAAGCUAGCAAAGCUCCUGCGUUGGCACGCGGAUAGGGAGGACAAGAAGCGAGAAGAUAACAGAAAUGAUCCGGAGAUAAAUAAAAAAACAAGAUGCUGAGUCACCCUAACGAUGCGAGCAAGUGGCAAGCGUUGAACUUCGAACACCCAGAAUUUGGGGAUGAUCCAAGGAACAUCGUGCUGGGAGCGAGCACCGAUGGAGUCAAUCCGUUUGGCAGCCAGAGAAGCACACAUAGCACCUGGCAUGUGUUUGUGUGGAUGUACAACCUUCCCCCCUGGUUGUGCAUGAAGAGGAAGUACAUUCACAUGAGUAUGCUAAUUGAAGGACCGAAACAACCAGGGAACGACAUCAAUUUGUAUCUGGGGCUGCUGAAAGAGGAGCUAGACACGCUAUGGAAAACGCCAGCCAAUACGUGGGACGCCGCAGAGAAAUAAUAUUUCCCUAUGAGAGCCGCACUGCUCACAACGGUGCACGACUAUCUCGGUUACGGAUAUGUCGCGGGGCAGGUGGUCCACGGAUUUUCUGGAUGCGUAAGGUGCAUGGAUGACACAACGUAUCGCCUGCUAGAUAGAGAUCCCGGAUCUUCGAAAACUGUGUUCAUGGGACAUCGAAGGUGGCUUCACGACGAUGACUCAUGGAUAAAACGCAAGGAUCUGUUCCAUGGUGAAACCGAACCCCGAAUAACGCCCGCGUAAGAGGAGCGGCGAGGAAAUAGACGAGCUGUUGAAAAAUUGGAAAGAUUGCCCACUGCUGGGAAAGAAGCAAAAGGCACCAGAGCCGGGAAAGAUGCAAAAGGCGCCAGAGCCGCUGCUGAAGGUAUGGAAAACGAGGUCUGUUUUUUAGGACUUGCCGUACUGGAAGAUCCACCGUGUGCCUCACAGCCUUGAUGUCAUGCAUAUCACGAAGAACGUGUGCGAGAGUCUGCUUGGUACUCUGCUCAACAUGCCAGAGAGGACCAAAUAUGGGCCGAAAGCAAGGGCAGACUUGAAAUCAAUGGACAUCAGGGAGGAGCUUCAGCUAAUGAUGAUGAUGAUGAUGAGGCAAAGCAGGAGACGGAAAGUCAUCGCAAAGGCAAAAAGGCCAAGAAGAUCGGAUAUGACUACCCUCCCGCGUACUUCACUCUAAGUCAGGAGGAGAUCGAGCAGUUUUUCACCUGCCUCGUAGGAGUAAAACUUCCUUACGGUUACGCGGGGAAGAUAAGCAGAUACCUAGACUCAGCGAAGCAUAAGUUCAGCGGGAUGAAGUCUCACGACUGUCACAUGAUGAUGAUGCAGAUACUUCCAGUUGCAAUCCGUGGGAUCAUGGACGUGCACGUCCGUGAAACGCUAUUUGGCCUAUGCAACUUUUUCGAUGUCAUCUCUCGGAAGUCGGUUGGCGUGAGGCAACUCAGAAGGCUACAGGAAGAGAUCGUGGUGAUACUAUGCGAGCUUGAGAUGUACUUCCCGCCCGCAUUCUUCGAUGUUAUGGUGCAUCUGCUGGUCCAUGUCGUGGAGGAUAUCAUCCAACUCGGGCCGACGUUCCUGCACGGCAUGUUGCCGUUCGAAAGGAUGAAUGGUGUCAUCAAAGGAUACGUUCGCAACAUGUCACGUCCAGAGGGAAGCAUAGCCAGGGGCUUUCUGACCGAAGAGUGCAUCUCCUACUGCACGAAUUAUCUAGCAUAUAGAACCCCGUUGGUUUGCCCGUCAACAGGCACCUCGGCAGGCUCACUGGAUGGGGUCACCGCGAUGGUCGCCGCAAAAUGCAUGUCGACUUCGAGGGUCGACUCGCCGACUUUGAAAGAGCAAACCUAGUCGCGCUACAACACAUAGACGUGGUCGAUCCUUGGGUGGUAGAGCACAAAACCUUUAUUGAGAAGACGUACAAUGACCGAGGCCAACAGAGGACGGACAGAGAUAUAAUCAAAGAGCACAACUCAUGUUUCACGCGUUGGUUCGAGGAGAAGCUUCUGUUGUACCCUUUACAUGAGGAUUCUUCUGCGGAAGAAAAAACUUAUAUUUGCCUUGUCACAGGGCGCCGAGCACAACCUGAUGACCGAUGAGGCGUACGAUAUCAAUCGCUACACAUUCUACACCGAGGGAAAGGACAUGAAGAGCGAUGGUUAUCAGAACUCCGGGGUAACGAUGGAAUCCUACACCGGUAACGACAAGGACAGAUACUACGGAAGGAUCAAGGAGAUCUGGGAGCUGAGCUACGCUGGAGAGAAGGUCCCGAUGUUCCGUGUCAGAUGGGCCAAGAGCGUCCUAAAAGAAGACCGGUAUUUCACCACCAUGGUUAUACCCGAAGCCAAAUCCAAGACCGCGGGCGCAAACUUCACCGCGAAAAAUGAGCCACGGGUACUGGCUUCCCAUGUGGACCAAUGCUUCUUCAUUACCGACCCGUCAAAGCCCAGUCGUGUUGUCAUGAGGAGAGGCAAAAGGAAGAUCAUCAGAAUGGAUGGAGUCGCCAAUGAGCAAGACUUCGACAAGUACGGCGAUCCUAAGAUGGAACAUGACGACGACGAUGAAAUGCCAUACACCACAAGAAGAAGCAGGACCACCCUACCUAAAGGACGUCCGUUUAACAGAAGAACUCCAUUUGUGAAAAAGAAGGGCAAGAAGAUAGUGAAAAGAUAGCUAGCUAAGAUCGAUUGUAUUUAAAUCGUAGUCUUCAUUUCUCGAUUGUAUUUUGACAUAUUGAAAUGAUAUUUCUUCUGUUCUAGUCCUCAUGAAUAUUUAUUUAUGUUUUUUAUGGUAUUGAAUUUCUAACUCACAAAAAGUAUUGAAUUUGUUAAUAUUUUUUGAACUCAUGAAUAUUUUUAAAUUUCAUGGGCACUUUUUGAAUUCAUGAAUAUUUUUUCGAAUUUGAUGAUAUUUUUUCAUAUUCAUAAAUGUUUUACUAAUUCACAAAUGAAUGCAACUAAAAAUCCAAAAAAAUAUUGAUGAUAUUUUUAAAUAACAAAUUUGAUGGUAUUUUUUCAUAUUCAUAAAUAUUUUGAAAUAACAAAUUUGAUGAUAUUUUUUCACAUUCAUAAAUGUUUUCAAAUUUGAUCAUCAUUUUCUAAAAAAAUAUUAGAUGCAACUAAAAAUAAUAAAAAAGUUACUAAUGGCGCACUAAGAGAAGGUGCGCCAUUGCUAUCAAUGUACUUAUGGCGCACCCCUAGGAGGUGCGCCAUUGGUAUACCAAUUUUUAUGAUAUUUUUUAAAUAUUUUCAAAUAACAAAUUUGAUGAUAUUUUUUCAUAUUCAUAAAUAUUUUCAAAUAACAAAUUUGAUGAUACUUUUUCACAUUCAUAAAUGAUUUUAAAUUUGAUCGUCAUUUUCUAAAAAUUUAUUAGACGCAACUAAAAAUAAUAAUAAAAAAAGUUACUUAUGGCGCACCCUCGGUGGUGCGUCAUUGCUAUGGAUGUACUUAUGGCGCACCCCUGGGAGGUGCGCCAUUGCUAACCUUCCCCCCUCUAUCCCUUUCCCCCUCGCCCCCCGCACCAGAUCCCCCUCCAUCUCGAUUGCUAUCCGUCCUCGCCAGAUCCCCCUCGCCGCCGAUGACCCCCCGCACCCUCCCCCNNNNNNNNNNNNNNNNNNNNNNNNNNNNNNNNNNNNNNNNNNNNNNNNNNNNNNNNNNNNNNNNNNNNNNNNNNNNNNNNNNNNNNNNNNNNNNNNNNNNNNNNNNNNNNNNNNNNNNNNNNNNNNNNNNNNNNNNNNNNNNNNNNNNNNNNNNNNNNNNNNNNNNNNNNNNNNNNNNNNNNNNNNNNNNNNNNNNNNNNNNNNNNNNNNNNNNNNNNNNNNNNNNNNNNNNNNNNNNNNNNNNNNNNNNNNNNNNNNNNNNNNNNNNNNNNNNNNNNNNNNNNNNNNNNNNNNNNNNNNNNNNNNNNNNNNNNNNNNNNNNNNNNNNNNNNNNNNNNNNNNNNNNNNNNNNNNNNNNNNNNNNNNNNNNNNNNNNNNNNNNNNNNNNNNNNNNNNNNNNNNNNNNNNNNNNNNNNNNNNNNNNNNNNNNNNNNNNNNNNNNNNNNNNNNNNNNNNNNNNNNNNNNNNNNNNNNNNNNNNNNNNNNNNNNNNNNNNNNNNNNNNNNNNNNNNNNNNNNNNNNNNNNNNNNNNNNNNNNNNNNNNNNNNNNNNNNNNNNNNNNNNNNNNNNNNNNNNNNNNNNNNNNNNNNNNNNNNNNCCAGCCGGCCGAACCCUCCGCGGCCCCCGCCUCCCCGAGCGCGGCCGCCGCGCGUCACCGCGGCCACCGACGGCUCCGUGCUCCGUCGUCGUGCCUAGGAGCUGCGCCAAGCUCCGCUACGCCAUCUUGGAGGAUCCUCGCCGUCGUGGGUCCUGUCGCCCCCCACUUGCCAAGGUGCGGCUCCCCCCUCUUCUCUGAAAAUUUUGGCAUGUUUUUGCAGUUCGUGGAAGUAGUGAACAACUAGCUCUUGGUUUAGGUUUUCCAGAAAUAGUUAAGUACUUCUGUGAACAUCGAUCUUGGCCUGCAAUCAUUUUGGUCGUGCUAGCGCUGACAACGUAGAGUAUACUGCUUGGAUCAGUGACAGUUAUUCUACUUCCUUAACAUCAGGCAAAUUGAUAAUUUUUUGGUCAAUAUAGCAAGUUUGAGAGAAGACCAAAUUUUGUUAGUCUUAAUACACUUUUCAUAUGUUCAGUUGGUGAUAUUUGAAAUAGCUAAGCUUACUCGUGUGGUCCAUCUAUGAAAAUCUCACACAAUGACACAUGAAAGCUAUUUUCUUUUAAUUUUGGUGCACUUUUGUUUAGCAAGAUGUGCAGGAAAGCUAUUUUAUUAUGGAGCUUCGUUGAGCAAUAUAUGACAUUGCUUUAAAAAAAAGAGCAAUAUAUGACAUUUGCUUUUUUUUAACAAAAUUCCUAUUUUCUUUUAGAAACUUUUUUUGUGACAUGUACUCACUGAAUUUUAAUUGACAGUAAAAUUCAGUGUAACAUACAGACUAAGGGUUUCUUGUGCCAAUUUCAGUAAAAUUUUGGAAUCCAAUCUUGGUGAACGAGAGAGAGCCAACGGCAAAAGUGACGCCGCGUGGACCCGCCCCAACACCCACGACGCGUCGAGCCUGAUCCUGCUGCAUAGAGGUGUGUGUGUCAGUGUGUGUGUGUGCGCGCGCGCGCGUGCGAGAGAGAGAGAGAGAGAGAGAGAGAGAGAGAGAGAGAGAGAGAGAGAGAGAGAGAGAGAGAGAGAGAGAGAACUACGGGGAAGGAGCGUCAUACCAUCUUUGGCCAUGCAAUGGGAUUCAUUCUUUUCUUGCAGAUGUACAGAAAUGUGAGUGCAGCUCAGCAUGCACACAUGACUGUAAAAACAUAGCUACUCACAUUUUGGACUAGAAACCACGGGCAAGGAACACGCAUACCAUGUUUGGAGUAGCUAAUUUUCAACUAGUGGCGAGUUUGAUUUCUAGUAGCAUAGCAUGGGCAUGCACUGCUAAUCAUCAAGUUGGUUGGUGUAGCCACUAUGGUUGCGAGGAAGGUGGCUUUGAGAUGAUCAAUGUACUUUUUUGUCGGGUUCUUUUGAAUUUUAAUUGACAGUAAAAUUCAGUGUAACAUACAGACUAAGGGUUGCAGAUUCACUGAAUUUUAAUUUUAAUUUUCUUGUGCCAAUCUGUUUUUUGUCUUGUAACAUGUGUUUGUUUCGUGCACUUGCUGAAUGUUCAAGGGGGCUGUGGCUUGUGUCGGACAGCAAGUGCCAAAAUUGGAACUGAAACUUGUUCAAUGAUUUUGCAGGUACCCCGAGAGGCCCUUGAGUUUGCCAGAAUGUCGAUUAACUUCCGUUCCGGCAAAUUCGGGUACUCCAUAUGUCCUAUUUUCAGCAAAGGUCAUGCUAAAAAUUUUCGUGAAUUUUAGCAUGACUUUGCUAAAAAUAGGACAUAUGGGGUACUUGCGACUAAUGCAUGGGCCGGGGUAUCUUAGUACUUAAUCUAUAGAUUUCGAAAAUUGUUCGUUGACAAUUAUUGGCAACUAGCUGUAUUCCUCUAUCUGAGAUAUUCUGUGUACAUGCAAUAUAUAUCCAAUCAGUGGGAUAAAAAGCCACGAGAAAGUAGAGCUGGACAUGUAAGAUGCAAUCUACUAAUGCCUCAUUAUCACCCUGUUAUGCUCAGCCCAACACUCCCAGUCAAGAUUGGUGAUAGAUAGAUAUCGUUCCCAUCUUUCGUUACAAGCUAAAUUAUGUUCCUUGACUCCAAAACCCUUAGCUAGACCAUCUGCUACUUGACUCCCUGAUAUUACAUGAUUUAAUUGAAUUAUACCAUCCAGGGCCGUCCAGGGGCCUGUGCGGGCUGUGCGACCGCACAGGGCCCCCAAAUUCCUGGGGCCCCCGAUUUUGGGCUAGUGCCUAGUGUAUUUUUCGUGUUGGGCCCUUUUAUCACAACUAGCACAGGCUUAGGCCAGCCCAGCUAGUCCCCGUCUCUCUCAAACUGGGCUAGCCCCACAAUCUCCCAAAAUAAGCCUUUCGUUAGUCCCGAUCAACACAGCCGCCGAUCGCGAUCUAUCGAUCUGGCCUCGUGCGGUCUGCUCGGAAGAGAAAAAGGGCCCUCACGGAGAUGAACCGACGAAGUGCGGUGGCGGCGGCGGCGCAUGGAGACGGAGCGUCGUUGUCACUUUGCUUCCUGCCCGGAGAAACAACCCGCUGCACUGCCCGCAUGAAGAAUUCAUUCCACAGUUUUCUUUGUCGCUGGUGUCCGAGGCCUAGGUGAGGACAUCCCGAUCUGUCCACAAGGUGUGCUCAAACUGAUUCCCUAUUUAAUUUAGUAUUUUGUCCUGUUGAAUGAUUAUAUUGUCUGCAUACGCUUCAGUUUAUCAAUCCAUUUGUUUAGAGAAGAUCUAUAGUACUAGGCUAGUUGACCAAGUUGUCACACACCAAUUUCCAAGCUAGUUGCUCGAUUAAAAUUUGGAGUACAGUUUUUUUUAUCUUGGUAUAAGCUUACAAUUUAUGGAGUGUUUGAAUUCAUUAUUUUUUCUUUUUAUAAGAAAACAUCUAUUCUAGAAUUUUUAUGGCCUUAUUUUGCAUUUCGCGCCGGGCCCCCGAAUUCCAGGAGACGGCCGUGAUACCAUCAUAGAACUUCCCCUUAAUAAAUAAAGGAUCUAUCUCCACAUACUUGGUUCUGUUGUGUUGGAUCGGGUUACUGGUUAUGCUUAUAGCUGAUUUAUUAUUACACCACACCUUCAAAGGACCUUUUCCCAGCACCUUCAUUCUGAUAGAGGAUUUCUACCCAUAAUAUUUCACUAAGUCCUAGUGACAUAGCUCUAUACUCUACUUUGGCUGUUGAUUUGGACACAACUAAUUGCUGCUUAAACCCCUUCCCAGGACUGCAUCUUAGAUACGACAAAAUAGGCUAUACUGCAUCCAUAUGUCCACUCCUAGGAUCAAGCAUGUAUCUGUCUACCACACUUGCGGCAUAGGCAAUGCCAGGUCUUAUAUGCCUUAAGUAUAGGAGUCCCCCAACGAAUCUGGCAUCUCUAAGUACAUUCUAAGAGAUUUGCAGAUUCCAAGGUAGAUUCUAUAGUUCCAAACAAGUAAGCAUAAAAUAGGAAUGUAAAUAUGUGCACCUGAUUCAAGUAAAAGAAGAUUAAUGUUGCAUAUGCCAAUAAAAAUGUGAUAAAGAGAGCACCACCUAUAUAUAUUGAGUAUUGAUUCAGCAUCACAUGCUUUUUUGGACAUUGGUAUAGCAAAAAUAUUUGUAGAAGAAGAUCAGGGGUACCUAGGCAAUAUCACAAAACAUCUCUCAAUUGAUCCCAAAACACCUAGGCAAUAUCAAAAACAUCUCUCAAUUGUUCCUUGAUAAUAACCAACUUUUUGGCGACAUUCCUCGAGAAUUAGGUUAUUUGGUCAACUUAGAGAUCUUGUUCCUUGACAAUAACCAACUUUUUGACCAAACUUUUUUCCUAUUUAGAGCGAAACAUGGCCCACAACGAUGAGGUCGGCGGUUCGGGCAAGGCAUUCUGGGAGCUGUCCCAGGAGAUGGAGGAAGAACCUCAUCGCUAUGAGGACGCCGCGGAAGACACCGAUCCUGACUACACAACCCCUAGUGGCGUCGGGGAUGACACCACUGAUGGUGCCGCCGAGGAUGCCACCGCUGAUGAUGGCAGCACAUGCACAGAUGUAAGCCAACCGAAGAGGCAACAAAAGGACCGGCGCCCGAACAUGCUCGGCACCGUCAAGGAGGAAUUUACUGAAGUGUCCUCCGAGGGGCAUCCAACAGCGCCCAAAGAAUUAGUCAAGGGGUACGCAGGACAGCUCGGGUGCAUUCUCCGGAGCACGUCUCGAUCAACACCGAGAACCUAAGGCAUCAUGACCGAGGGGAUUUGCGCAACCUCCUCUUCAGGAAGCUGCACGAACGAUACAAGUUCCCUGGUGACUUCGCAAACACACGCCUCUCAGGGAAUAAUGUGAACAGUGCCGUCCUCACGAAGAUGAGCAUGGCCCUGGCUACUUGGAGAGGCGCGGUGAAGAAAAUGAUUGAAAAAGGUGAUAGUUAUGAGAAGAUCAAGGAGAAAAAUCCUUCGAUCAGCGAAGAUGACUACAAGGAGUUCAAGAUCAAGUGCGAGAGCAACGCAACCGUGGAAUCAAGUCAGUGGGGGAAAGACAUGCAGGACUUGAACUUAGGGGUCCACCAACUCGGUCCCGGCGGUUACGGAGUGGCGGAAGCUAUAUGGGACAAGGAGGACGCGGAGCGUGCCGAGCAAGGCCUACCGCCCCGCUUCGAGAAAUACCAUGACAAGCAGACCAGGAACUAUGUCAGGGCCCGAUACAAGGUGGACCCGGUAACAAAGGAGCUUACCACGGAUCCUAAGACCAAGGCGCUUGUGCUUGUUCUGGUAAGGAAUACACCCCCGCGUAAUUAGCUCCAUAUGUUGCUGAAAGGAUCGAUAUGGUUGACUAGAGGGGGGGGGGUGAAUAGGCAACUAACAAUUUUUAAGCUUUUAUUUACCAAAUUAAACUAUGCAACAAAAUAGGUUGUCUAGAUGUGCAACUAAGUGAGCAACCUAUAUGAUGCAAUAACAACUAGCACAUAAGCAAGCAAUGGAUGUAACACAAGUAGGCUUGCAAAAGUAAAGGCACAAAAUAACCAAGAGUGGAGCCGGUGGAGACGAGGAUGUGUUACCGAAGUUCCUUCCUUUUAAAGGGAAGUACGUCUCCGUUAGAGCGGUGUGGAGGCACAAUGCUCCCCAAGAAGCCACUAGGGCCACCGUAUUCUCCUCACGCCCUCACACAAUGCGAGAUGCCAUGAUUCCACUAUUGGUGCCCUUGAAGGCGGCGACCGAACCUUUACAAACAAGAUUGGGGCUAUCUCCACAACACUUGGAGGCUCCCAACAACACCACGAAGCUUCACCACAAUGGAGUAUGGCUUUGAGGUGACCUCAACCGUCUAGGGUGCUCAACACCCAAGAGUAACAAGAUCCGCUAGGGAUAAGUGGGGGAAAUCAAAUUUCUCUUGGUGGAUGUGUAGAUCUGGGCCUUCUCAACCAAUCCCGAGCAAAUCAACAAGUUUGAUUGGCUAGGGAGAGAGAUCGGGCGAAAAUGGAGCUUGGAGCAACAAUGGAGCUUUGGGGAAAAGAGGUAGGUCAACUUGGAGGAAGAAGACACCUUUAUAUAGUGGGGGAACAAAUCCAACCGUUACCCCACUGAGCAGCCCCGCACAGGGCGGUACUACCGCUUGGGCAGGGCGGUACUACCGCUGAGGGCGGUACUACUGCUCUCACCCAGCGGUACUGCCGCGCUGGCGAGGAGAUCAGAGACCCAGCCCCAGAGCGGUACUACCGUGGUAGUAGGCGCGGUACUACCGCUUGGAGCGGUACUACCACCCCUACUUCCGCACCUAGUACCGUAAAACUCGACACGAAAAACAUCGUUCGAGAAUCGAAGCGGUACUAGCGCGGAAUUGCUGUGGUACUACGGCCGAAGUCCUUAAGCGGUACUACCGCUCGGGGGAGCGGUACUACUGCUGUGGAGCGGUACUACCGCUCCUGGAGCGGUACUACCGCUAGAGUGCUUAGGCGGUACUACCGCAGAAGACCGCGGUACUACCGCUGGGGUAGGUCAGGGCAGGAACACAGAAGGAAGAGCUGCUCCAUCGCAGCUGGAAGGAAGACAUUGAGUGUGAAAUGGAUGUGUACGUGUUGAUUCCACCCUAGUCUUACCAAAGCGGAUCCCCUCUUGAUAGUACGGUGACUCCUACGAAACUAGUCCACCAACAGAGAGACGAAGGAGCUACACCGUCUUGAAAGACACACGAAGGGGAGGAAAUCGUCUUGUGCCAAUGAAUGAAUCUCUGAAAGAACUUAACGCACACGAUUAGUCCGCAAAAGCAUUGUCAUCAAUCACCAAAACAUCUUGGGGAUAAAUAUGCCCUUACAAUCUCCCCCUUUUUGGUGGAUUGAUGACAAUACGGGAUUUGCACAAGCAUGAUAUAGAGUAAGCGCACAAACUCCACCGUCCUAAAAUGUAGAUGGGCUCCCCCUAGAUGUGUGCUAUCCAGAUAAGUGCUUUGGACUGCACGACACACAUACUAGGAUCAACGCUCCCCCUACAUUUUAGAGACCAACAAUCUAAGCAAGGUAUAUGAGAGCAACAUAGAUGACUUAACAAGAAAAGCAAGCAAUUCAUAAGCUAGAUAGUGACAUAGAUAAUGAUACUGGAAAGAUAAGGUAGCAUAUGUCUCACACCAUAUGACUCGAACUUAGGUCUCACAGACAAACCAAACAAAGCAAAUGCAAGGAGAACACGAACACAAAAGACGGAAGACAUAAAUCGCAAAUCCCUAAACUCUCUCCCCCUUUGGCAUCGAGACACCAAAAAGGAGAGGGAGUGUUGCUACGGCUCCAGGUGAGAGCAAACGAGGGACACACACAUCAGAGCACAACGGGAUCAUCGGCGCCACCGUCCUCAGACUGUAAGUGCUCGGCAUCAGAAUCGGUCCACGGGCAGUGCAGCUGAAUCCACUCCUCCUCCUCCGUAAGCUGGUCCUUAGACCCACUGUUAACUAUAGCACCCAACUGACGCAUGAGCUCCUUGUGGCGACCUCGGGCCUUCUUCUCAGCCACAUGAGUCAUGUACUGACUGUGAGAGUCCAUGCAGAACAACUUCUUCAUCUUGAGCUUGAGCUUCUUUGCCCAAGAGGGCUCUGCCUCAGAAGGCAUGUAGUCAUCAUCAUCAUCAUCAACCCCAGUCUCCUCCUCGGUCUCCAUGGCAGUAGCAGACGAAGGAACUCCAGUCCUAGGGGCCUGAGUGCCCCAAUUAUCCUUCUUCCUCAAACGCUUGACAUCGUGAGAGAUCAACUCUCCAGUCUCCAGUAACACCUGGGGAUAGACACGAUCCCAGGCCUUCUCAAUGAGCAGCAUAAUGAACAGACCAUAAAUCGGGCACUUGCGCUCGGAGAUAGCAGAUAGCAGCUCAGACCACAUAACAUGAUAGAUAUCCAAGGACUCUCCGGUGUGCUGUCCCUUCUCACGCUGGCAGAAAAGAAGCAUGUCGACGAGAUAGGAGUGAACCUGGUCAAGAUUCCCGAUACGAGGGAAACGAGUCUCUCUGAAGAUGCGGUGAAGGAUAUCCAGAUAGGCAGGCAGCUCAUAGGUUUCCUUCUUUGUCUCAGGGUUGAUCCUCAAAGUGCAGUAGGGCCAUAGAGCUUGCUUGUGAGUGGCAUUGGGGCGGCCGUGAGGGCGAAAGCCGACAGAAGACUCAAGACCUAGAUCUUGCACCCCAAUCAACUCCAUGAACGCUUUCCACUUGACUGAAAGCAACUUGCCAUUGGUCAUCCAGGUCAGUGUCCUGUCCUCAUCAGUCCCAAGGUGAACCGUGGCUUAGAAUUGGGCCACAAUAUCAGCAUCUGAAGAAAGAAUGUUCAGUUGUGUGCACAUCUGAAGAGCUUCACCAAAGUAUUCAGGAUCUUGCUUCAUAUGGUCGGUGUCGAUGGAGUGCACGUUGACAUAGAGGUUCUUCUUGGCUUUGAGAACAUCGAAGAAGAUGGCAAACUGGAACCUGUUCCAGAACGGACGGUUGACCAAAGUGGGAUCUUGGUCUGCCUCAUACGGGUUGCGUCGGCGCCUUGCCCAGAACUCCUUUGGCGGCAUUUCUGGCAUGGUUUUACCUGGCUUAGGCUUGACCCCAGGCUUCUUCUGGAGUUGAGGUGGAGGUGGAGCACUUGAAGAACCUCCGGCAGGCUCGGUGGUGCGGUAGCGCUUGGACGUGGCACGACCGGGGUUGACACGACGAGCCUGAUGCUCAGGGACCUCAUCACCUGGAACCACACACAAGAACACGCAAACAACCAGAAAGAACGAGCAUAAGCCACAAAAAACGAGCAAAAAGGAUCACUAAAAGGUAGGAAUAUGGUGUAAAUUGGUAGAGGGCGGUAGUACCGCGACCUCCGAGCGGUAGUACCGCUCCAAGCGGUAGUACCGCUCUUGGGAGAGCGGAAGUACCGCUCGAGGCGGGGAAAACAGCCGGUUCCAACUGCCGUGCUCAGAUCCGGUACUACCGUCCUACCAAAUUCAAAAAUACUCCAACCCAACACUAAUCCACACUGUCUAGAAGCAUUCUCCAUCCAACUCAAGCCUAGAUCUGGCCAAAAAUCUAGAGAUGCAAUUGCUAUUGCCCCUAAGACGCUAGAUUGGAAAUCUAGACAAAAAGAAAAAGGGAACGGGGGCAAUACCGGCAUCCAUGGCAAGAGGACAAGGUGGGGAUCGACUCCACCGAAGGGAAUGGAGAGGAGCGCCCCGGAGAGGGAGAUCCGCCGGAGCCCUCCCGCGACGCCGGUGCUGAAGAGAGAGAGGAACAGAGCGAGGGGAGGCGAGCGAAUGGGUAUGGGGGAGAAGAAACUCCCCCUGCCCCCGAUAUAACCCCCUGCCCGCUCCCCCGAGUGGUAGUACCGCACUGGAGGGUGGUAGUACCGCUCGCCACUAGCGGUAGUACAGCUUCAGCAACCGCACGACUUCUAGACCAACGGCUAAAACUCCAAGAAGAUUGAAAGGAAAACUAAGAGAAAGAGAAGACCAACAAGGCAACACACACACACACGCAACGGACCAGAAACCACUCAAACAAAAACAACCACACGAAACAGAGCGAGCUCUGUCCUCUCUCAAGAGAGGGCGGUGGCCGGAGCCACCUAUGUUUGAGUCAAUUGAUAUGGCACCGUGAAGAAUUAUCCUUGGGCCCAUGACCAAAACUCGUCUUUGAAGCACAAGUACCAUCAAAAAUGGCUAAUGUGAAAGAGUUGAUCGAUUUAUGCAUAAUGGGGGGAGGGAGAGUUCAUUGAGGGAACAACACUCCCCCCAUGUCCAUGCCUACACCUAAACUAGACAACAAGAUGAAUGUGGUGGGGGUGCAAGGGUUCAAGUCACAUUGCUCGAAUCAAUGAUAUUUAGCUCAUGCCUUAACUCGCGAAAUCUUGCUUCAUCCAGGGGCUUCGUGAAAAUAUCUGCAAGGUUAUCAUGAGUGUUGACAUACUUGAGCUCGAUCUCCCCUCGCCUAAUGUGAUCCCGGAUGAAAUGAUACCGAAUCUAAAUAUGCUUCGUCUUGAAGUGUUGCACCAGGUUGAGAGAAAUCUUGAUGGCACUUUCGUUGUCACACCAAAGAGGCACUUUGUCACAAAUGACACCAUAUUCCUUUAAAGUUUGCCUCAUCCAUAAGAGUUGUGCACAGCAACUACCGGCCGCCACAUACUCCGCUUCGGUGGACGAGAGAGACACACAACUUUGCUUCUUGGAAGACCAACUCACCAAAGAGCACCCAAGAAACUAGCACCCUCCGGAAGUGGACUUCCUAUCCACUUUGUGUCCCGCCCAAUCAGAAUCCGUAAAUCCUUCAAGCUUGAAGUUUGCUCCUCUUGGGUACCAUAAGCCAAAGUUUGGGGUAUGAGCCAAAUAUCGAAAGAUUCGCUUGACCGCCACAUAGUGACUUUCCUUCAGAGUGGCUUGAAACCGUGCACACAUCCCCACACUCAACAUGAUAUCCGGUCUAGAUGCACAAAGGUAAAGCAAGGAGCCAAUCAUGGAGCGAUAUACCUUUUGAUCCACCGCUUUACCAUUGGGAUCGAUGUCAAGUUGGCACUUGGUAGGCAUUGGUGUAGUAGCCAGCUUGACAUCACUUAGCUUGAAUCUUUUAAGCAUGUCUUGAGUGUAUUUGGCUUGGUUGAUAAAGGUUCCUUCUCUUCUUUGUUUGAUGUCAAAACCAAGGAAGAACUUCAACUCUCCCAUCGAAGACAUCUUGAACUUGGAGGUCAUGAGAGCGGCAAAUUCCUCAUUGAAAGCUUUGUUAGGGGAUCCAAAGAUAAUAUCAUCAACAUAUAGUUGGCAUACAAACAACUCCCCUUUGACCUUCUUAGUAAAAAGAGUGGGGUCGAUUAGCCCCACCUCAAAUCCACGAUCUUGUAACAACUCGGUAAGGUGGUCAUACCACGCACGUGGGGCUUGUUUAAGGCCAUAGAGUGCCUUAUCGAGUUGAUACGCAUGAUCUGGAAAGUAGGGAUCCUCGAACCCGGGGGGUUGCUUGACAUAGACCAACUCAUUAAUAGGACCAUUAAGAAAAGCACUUUUCACAUCCAUUUGUUGCAACUUAAAGUUGUGAUGGGAAGCAUAGGCAAUCAACAUACGUAUGGAUUCAAGACGGGCAACGGGAGCAAAGGUUUCACCGUAGUCGAUACCCUCGACUUGGGAGUAGCCUUGUGCUACCAAUCUUGCCUUGUUGCGAACGAUGUUCCCAUGAGCAUCUUGCUUGUUCUUGAAGAUCCAUUUGGUCCGAAUGACGUUGUGGUCUCCCGAUGGCCUUGGCACCAAUCUCCAUACUUUGUUUUACUCGAAGUUGUUGAGUUCUUCAUGCAUGGCAUUGAGCCAAUCCGAGUCUUCGAGCGCCUCAUAGACCUUUUGGGUUCAACACACGAGACAAACGCGUGAUGUUCACAAUAGUUUGCUAAUUGUCUACGAGUGCUUCCCCUAUCUUAGGCUUCCAACCACAUUUUCCAUGAGAUGGCCUUGGGUGGUGAGCUUGGAAGCAAUCUUCGUGGCACCACACUCUAAUUCCUCCUCGGAUGUGGAAGGAGGAGGGUUGACUUGAUCAUCUUGAGCGCCGUCUUGAGCUUGUUCUUGAUCUUGACCUUGCUCUUGAUCUUGAACUUGCUCAAGGGGGAGAACUUGACCUUGGGCAUCAUUUAGAGGUUCACCACCAUCUUGAGGUUGAUCUUGCCCUUGGUCUUGUUCACGAGGUUGAGGGCCUUCACGUUGUUCUUCGGAAGCGUGUGGGUCUUGAUGAGGUGAUGGCUCUACUUGAGUAGAGCAUUGUCCUUCUCCUUCGGCCACAAGGGGUUCCUCAAUGGGUAGAAUUUGACCAAUACCCAUUCUUCUUAUGGCUUGGGGAGGAAUUUCAUCACCUACAUCACAAGUACCACUUUGCUCCACUUGGGAGCCGUUAUUUUCGUCAAACUCCACGUUACACGUCUCCUCAAUGAGUCCGGUGGACUUGUUAAGGACACGGUAAGCAUGAGAGUUUGUAGCAUAACCAACAAAUAUGCCCUCAUGAGCUCUAGCCUCAAAUUAGAUAAACGAACACCUUUCUUGAGAAUGAAACACUUACAACCGAACACCCGGAAGUACUUGAGGUUGGGCUUGUUGCCGGUGAGUAUCUCAUAAGGAGUCUUGUUCAAGCCUUUGCAAAGAUAGAGCCGAUUGGAUGCAUGACAUGCGGUGUUGAUGGCUUCGGCCCAAAAGUUGUAUGGGGACUUGAACUCCGCCAUCAUGGUCCUAGCCGCAUCCAUCAACGUCCGGUUCUUCCUCUCCGCAACACCAUUUUGUUGAGGGGUGUAUGGAGCAGCAUAUUGGUGCUUGAUCCCCUCAUCACUAAGAAACUCAUCCAAGGUGUAGUUCUUGAACUCGGUGCCAUUGUCGCUUCUUAUUGUCAAGAUCUUUGCAUUGUGUUGACGUUGAGCUUCAUUUGCAAAGUCGAUGACGGUUUGUUGAGUCUCACUCUUCCUCUUGAAGGAGUAUACCCAAGUGUAUCUUGAAUAGUCAUCCACAAUCACCAAGCAAUACUUUCUACCUCCAAGACUAUCAAAAGAUGGAGGCCCAAAGAGAUCCAUGUGAAGGAGCUCCAAGGGUCUCUUCGAGUAAAUGAUGGUUUAUGGAGGGUGAGCCUUUUCAUGAAGCUUUCCUUCGAUACAAGCACGAUCUUUGUCAAAACUAACCUUUGUUAGUCCGUGGACAUGGUCCCCCUUGAGAAGACUUUGCAAAGAUCUCAUAUUGACGUGGGCUAAACGGUGAUGCCAAAGCCAUCCCACGUCAACUUUAGCCAUUAGGCAUGUCGCGGUCUUAGUGGGUCGCUCCGAAAAGUUAAUCACAUAGAGACCAUUCUCGACAUGCCCAACAAAGGCUACUUUAAGAGUCUUGCUCCACAAGAGGGCCACGGUAUCAAUGUUAAAGAAUGUAGCAAAACCCAUGAGUGCAAGUUGACGAACGGAAAGCAAAUUGUAUGCAAGGGACUCAACAAGCAUGACUUUCUCGAUUGUUAGAUCAUGAGAAAUGACAACCUUGCCGAGACCCAAUACCUUAGAGUGUGAUGCAUCACCCCACUCGACAUUGGUGGGCAUAGAUGGAAUCUCUUGCACGUCCACCACCAAGUCCUUGCUCCCGGUCAUAUGAUUUGUUGCUCCACUAUCGAGCAACCAUGACCCCCCACCGGAAGCAAACACCUACAAGAGAUCAAUGCUUGGUUUAGGUACCCAUUUAGUAAUGGGUCCUUUGAUGUUAGUAACAAGGGUCUUGGGAACCCAAAUAGACUAUUCAAUGUACUCAUAAGGAGAACCAACAAAUUUAGCAUAAACAUGUCCAUCACUAGCACGGCACAACACAUAUGACGGGUUAAAGUCCCCGGCUUUGUUUGAGGACAUGCUGUUGCCCUUUUGGAUGUCAACUCCCUUCACUUUUUCCUUCUUAUCCUUAGGAGCACCCUCUCCUUCUUUCACAAACGUUUGCUUGAGAGGAGGAGGACGUUUGGUCUUGUUGUUCUUCUUCUUCUUGCUCUUGGACUUGGGUGCAAACCCAAUUCCUUCCUUGGCCACAACUUCCUUUUGAUUGCUCAAAAGGUCAUUGAGGUUCUUCUCACCUUGAAUGCAUGUCACAAGGCCUUUCUCAAGUUGAUCUUUCAACUUGGCAUUCUCCUCCACAAGAUGCACAUGCUCACAACACAGGUUAGUGGCACAUGCAUUAUCAAUUAAUACCAUGUGAGGAAAGGUGGCCUUUUCCUUGAUUAGCUUAACUUGGAGUUGAGCAUGAGACUCCUUGAGGUUAGCGUGAGCACCCUUCAAGACCUUGUGGGCCUUGUCAAGUAUCUCAAACUCCUCUUUGAGUCUAGCAUGAUCAACCCCAAGUUUAGCCUUCUCGGAAGUUAGCACACGAGACAUGACAAGAGCAUGAUCAAGAUCUUUCUCUAACUUAGCAUGGUCAUCAUUGUGUGACUCCUCAAGAGUCAAACGAUGCACACGCUCUUCCUCAAGAGCAUUAGAGAGAUCCGAUAUCUCAUCGGCAUAGUCACGACUAUGACCUUCCAUCUUAGAGAUGGUUUCUUCGUGAGCCUCGAUCAUGUCAUUGGCCUCACCAAGUUGUUCCAAGAGAGCAACAAAAUGCUUCUUGGACUUGCCCUUGAGCUUACUCAUAAAAGACUCAAACUCAUUCACUUCUUCAUUAGAUCCAUCAUGUUCAUCAAUGCACUCCUCCAUGGAGGGAUUAGUAAUGAUGGUGGUUUUAAUGUUGGCGGUUACCUUGUUUGAAGCUUUAGCCAUGAGGCAUUUGGCGUUGAUGUUUUCGUUGGGUGAAUCAAAGAGAGACACCCGGGGAGUAGUAGCAAUGGCAACGGAUGCCAUGGCCAUAGCUUCUUCAUUUACAUCAUCAUUGUCAUCCUCUUGGUAUUCUUCUUGAACCACCAACCCACGAGUGGGAGUCUUCUUGGCGAAGUUGUUCUUGUUGGGGAAGGACUUGGCUUUGUCUUUUCGGAUGAACUUGCCACCAUUGUCUUCCCGCUUUUCGUAAGGACAAUCCGCAACGAAAUGGCUCACAUUGCCACAGUUGAAGCAAGUUCUAACUCGUUGCUUGCCCUUGACACCACUUGAGUUGUUCUUGUUAAAGUUGGGUCUUGAACUCUUCUUGCUCCAAAAUUGUCUUGAAGCAAGGGCCAUGUGCUCAUGGUAAUCAAAUUUGGUGUCUUCGGGGUUGCUUUCCUCAUCUUCCACUUCUUCCUCUUCUUCCAUAAUAACCUUGGCCUUCAAAGCAAGGUUGGGCUUCUUUGCCCUUUGAGAAUGGAGCACCGCAUUGUCGGCGGUCUUGUCCAAGAUGCACAUUGCAACGAACUCAUCCAACACAUCACUUGAGGUCAUGGAGUGGAAGUCCGGUCGUUGACGAAUGACGGAGGACAUGGCCUUGUUGUAGGGCAUCAUGGCCUUGAGGAACUUUCGCUUGAUCCAAUUGUCAUCCGUGUCCUUGCUUCCAUGAUCUCGGAGUGAGACCGCGAGUUUGGUCACUCUUCGAAAGAGCUCACGAGGUUCUUCAUCUUCUUUCAUUGCAAACUCAUCGGCUUCAUCUUGCACCACUUCAUAGUUGGAGUGUUGGAUGCUAGCACUUCUUCGAUAGAGACCCUCGACACAUUUCCAUGCUUCUUUAGCCAUGGCAUGGGGUCGAAGAUGAGGGAGAUCUUCGGGAAGGAUUGCAUCUUGGAUGAUGAAGAGAGCACUCUCAUUGAAUUGAUUGUCCACGGCUUCUCGAGGGGUGAAAUUGCUUGGGUCAUGAGGAUAGAAACCUUCUUCAAUGAUUCUCCAAAGGUUAGUGUUCACAUGUUUUAAAUGACGCUUAAAGCGAUAGACCCAAGAAUCAAAAUCUUCAUGUUUCUCAUAUUUAGGAGGAGGACCGGCAUGAUUCAAAUGAGUGGAGGGGAUUGGCCCUCCAUAAAUUGGGGGUUCCACAUGGGCAAAGAUGCCGGUACCAUUUCUACCACUAAUAGAAGGACUCUUUUCAAUGUUAGCUUCCCCCUUGUCGGAGGUAGCAUCCGUCACCUUGUUGGUGGGAUCACCCACUUUCAUCGGCGAGGUAGAUUGUUUAAGUCCUUCUAUGAAUUCUUUAAACAUGUCCUUGACCUCGGUCGUCAUGGAGGUUUUCAAUGUUUCCAAAGCCACAUUGAAUUCCUCACAUGAGAUCGAGUUACCCCCAUCUCCCGUAGAUGACAUCGGAUUUGCACUAGAGUGCUCUCCCACCUCAUCUACGACAUCAACCAUACUCUUCGGACGGUAAAGUCCUUAAAAAGAGACGAGGCUCUGAUACCAAUUGAAAGGAUCGAUAUGGUUGACUAGAGGGGGGGUGAAUAGGCAACUAACAAUUUUUAAGCUUUUAUUUACCAAAUUAAACUAUGCAACAAAAUAGGUGGUCUAGAUGUGCAACUAAGUGAGCAACCUAUAUGAUGCAAUAACAACUAGCACAUAAGCAAGCAAUGGAUGUAACACAAGUAGGCUUGCAAAAGUAAAGGCACGAAAUAACCAAGAGUGGAGCCGGUGGAGACGAGGAUGUGUUACCGAAGUUCCUUCCUUUUAAAGGGAAGUACGUCUCCCUUAGAGCGGUUUGGAGGCACAAUGCUCCCCAAGAAGCCACUAGGGCCACCGUAUUCUCCUCACGCCCUCACACAAUGCGAGAUGCCGUGAUUCCACUAUUGGUGCCCUUGAAGGUGGCGACCGAACCUUUACAAACAAGAUUGGGGCUAUCUCCACAACACUUGGAGGCUCCCAACAACACCACGAAGCUUCACCACAAUGGAGUAUGGCUUCGAGGUGACCUCAACCGUCUAGUGUGCUCAACACCCAAGAGUAACAAGAUCCGCUAGGGAUAAGUGGGGGAAAUCAAAUUUCUCUUGGUGGAUGUGUAGAUCUGGGCCCUCUCAACCAAUCCCGAGCAAAUCAACAAGUUUGAUUGGCUAGGGAGAGAGAUCGGGCGAAAAUGGAGCUUGGAGCAACAAUGGAGCUUUGGGGAAAAGAGGUAGGUCAACUUGGAGGAAGAAGACACCUUUAUAUAGUGGGGGAACAAAUCCAACCGUUACCCCACUAAGCAGCCCCGCACAGGGCGGUACUACCGCUUAGGCAGGGCGGUACUACCGCUGAGGGCGGUACUACCGCUCUCACCCAGCGGUACUGCCGCGCUGGCGAGGAGAUCACAGACCCAGCCCCAGAGCAGUACUACCGUGGUAGUAGGCGCGGUACUACCGCUUGGAGCGGCACUACCGCCCCUACUUCCGCACCUAGUACCGUAAAACUCGACACGAAAAACAUCGGUCGAGAAUCGAAGCGGUACUAGCACGGAACUGCUGCGGUACUACGGCCGAAGUCCUUAAGCGGUACUACCGCUCGGGGGGAGCGGUACUACCGCUGUGGAGCGGUACUACCGCUAGAGUGCUUCGUGUUGGGGAACGUAGUAAUUCCAAAAAAAAAUCCUACGCACACGCAAGAUCAUGGUGAUGGCAUAGCAACGAGAGGGGAGAGUGUUCGUCCACGUACCCUCGUAGACCGUAAGCGGAAGCGUUAGUACAACACGGUUGAUGUAGACGUACGUCUUCACGAUCCGACCGAUCCAAGCACCGAACGUACGGGGCCUCCGAGUUCAGCACACGUUCAGCUCGAUGACGAUCUCCGGCCUCCGAUCCAGCCGAGCUCCGGAGAUGAGUUUCGUCAGCACGACAGCGUGGUGAAGAUGUUGAUGUUCUACCGGCGCAGGGCUUCGACUAAACUCCGCGACGAUAUGACCGAGGUGGAAUAUGGUGGAGGGGGGCACCGCACACGGCUAAGAAACGAUCCGUAGAUCAACUUGUGUGUCUUUGGGGUGCCCCCCUGCCCCCGUAUAUAAAGGAGCCAGGGGGGAGGAGGCGGCCGGCCAAGGAGGGCGCGCCAAGGGGGGAGUCCUACUCCCACCAGGAGUAGGACUCCCUUCUUUCCAAGUAGGAGUAGGAGAAGGGGGGAAAGAGGAGGAAGAGGGGAAGGAAAGGGGGGGCGCCGCCCUCCUUCCCUUGGCCUAUUCGGACAAGGAGGGGGAGGGGCACGCGGCCCCCUCCUGGCUCCUUCCCUCUUCUCCCUCGUGGCCCAUGUAGGCCCAAUAAUCCCCCGGGGGGUUCCGGUAACCUCCCGGUACUCCAGUAAAAUGCCGAUUUCACCCGGAACCAUUCCGAUGUCCAAACAUAGGCUUCCAAUAUAUCAAUCUUUAUGUUUCGACCAUUUCGAGACUCGUCGUCAUGUCUGUGAUCACAUCCAGGACUCCGAACAAACUUCGGUACAUCAAAACUUAUAAACUCAUAAUAAAACUAUCAUCGUAACAUUAAGCGUGCGGACCCUAUGGGUUCGAGAACUAUGUAGACAUGACCUAGAACCAUUCUCGGUCAAUAACCAAUAGCGGGACCUGGAUGCCCAUAUUGGUUCCUACAUAUUCUAUGAAGAUCUUUAUCGAUCAAACCGCAUAACAACAUACGUUGUUCCCUUUGUCAUCGGUAUGUUACUUGCCCGAGAUUUGAUCGUCGGUAUCCAAUACCUAGUUCAAUCUCGUUACCGGCAAGUCUCUUUUCUUGUUCCGUAAUACAUCAUCUUAUAACUAACUCAUUAGUUACAAUGCUUGCAAGGCUUAGGUGAUGAGUAUUACCGAGAGGGCCCAGAGAUACCUCUCCGACAAUCGGAGUGACAAAACCUAAUCUCGAAUUAUGCCAACCCAACAUGUACCUUCGGAGACACCUGUAGAGCACCUUUAUAAUAACCCAGUUACGUUGUGACGUUUGGUAGCACACAAAGUGUUCCUCCGGUAAACGGGAGUUGCAUAAUCUCAUAGUUGCAGGAACUUUGUAUAAGUCAUGAAGAAAGCAAUAGCAGUAUACUAAAUGAUCAAGUGCUAGGCUAACGGAAUGGGUCAUGUCAAUCACAUCAUUCUCCUAAUGAUGUGAUCCCAUUAAUCAAAUGACAACACAUGUCUAUGUUUAGGAAACAUAACCAUCUUUGAUUAAUGAGCUAGUCAAGUAGAGGCAUACUAGUGACUAUAUGUUUGUCUAUGUAUUCACACAUGUAUCAUGUUUCCAGUUAAUACAAUUCUAGCAUGAAUAAUAAACAUUUAUCAUGAUAUGAGGAAAUAAAUAAUAACUUUAUUAUUGCCUCUAGGGCAUAUUUCCUUCAGUCUCCCACUUGCACUAGAGUCAAUAAUCUAGAUUACAUAGUAAUGAUUCUAACACCCAUGGAGUCUUGGUGUUGAUCAUGUUUUGCUCGUGAGAGAGGCUUAGUCAACGGGUCUACUACAUUCAGAUCCGUAUGUAUCUUGCAAAUCUCUAUGUCUCCCACUUGGACUUGGUCCCGAAUGGAAUUGAAGCGUCUCUUGAUGUGCUUGGUCCUCUUGUGAAAUCUGGAUUCCUUUGCCAAGGCAAUUGCACCAGUAUUGUCACCGAAGAUUUUCAUUGGUCCCGAUGCACUAGGUAUGACACCUAGAUCGGAAAUGAACUCCUUCAUCCAGACUCCUUUAUUUGCUGCUUCCGAAGCAGCUAUGUACUCCGCUUCACAUGUAGAUCCCGCCACGACGCUUUGUUUAGAACUGCACCAACUUACAGCUCCACCUUUAAUAAAAAACACAUAUCCGGUUUGCGAUUUAGAAUCGUCCGGAUCAGUGUCAAAGCUUGCAUCGACGUAUCCAUUUACGACUAGCUCUUUGUCACCUCCAUAUACGAGAAACAUAUCCUUAGUCCUUUUCAGGUAUUUCAGGAUGUUCUUGACUGCUGUCCAGCGAUCCACUCCUGGAUUACUUUGGUACCUUCCUGCCAAGCUUAUUGCUAAGCAUACGUCAGGUCUGGUACAUAGCAUUGCAUACAUGAUAGAGCCUAUGGCUGAAGCAUAGGGAACAUUUUUCAUUUUCUCUCCAUCUUCUGCUGUGGUCGGGCAUUGAGUUUGACUCAACUUCACACCUUGUAGCACAGGCAAGAAUCCUUUCUUUGCCUGAUCCAUUUUGAACUUUUUCAAAAUCUUGUCAAGGUAUGUGCUUUGUGAAAGUCCUAUUAAGCGUCUUGAUCUAUCUCUAUAGAUCUUGAUGCCCAAUAUGUAAGCAGCUUCACCGAGGUCUUUCAUUGAAAAACUUUUAUUCAAGUAUCCCUUUAUGCUAUCCAGAAAUUCUAUAUCAUUUCCAAUUAAUAAUAUGUCAUCUGCAUAUAAGAUUAGAAAUGCUACAGAGCUCCCACUCACUUUCUUGUAAAUACAGGCUUCUCCAAAAGUCUGUAUAAAACCAGAUGCUUUGAUCACACUAUCAAAGCGUUUAUUCCAACUCCGAGAUGCUUGCACCAAUCCAUAAAUGGAACGCUGGAGCUUGCACACUUUGUCAGCACCUUUUGGAUCAACAAAACCUUCCGGCUGCAUCAUAUACAACUCUUCUUCUAGAAAUCCAUUCAAGAAUGCAGUCUUGACAUCUAUUUGCCAAAUUUCAUAAUCAUGAAAUGCAGCAAUAGCUAACAUGAUUCGGACAGACUUAAGCAUCGCUACGGGUGAGAAAGUCUCAUCGUAGUCAACCCCUUGAACUUGUCGAAAACCUUUUGCAACAAGUCGAGCUUUAUAGACAGUAACAUUACCAUCAGCGUCAGUCUUCUUCUUACAGAUCCAUUUAUUCUCAAUGGCUUGACGGUCAUCGCGCAAGUCAACCAAAGUCCAUACUUUGUUUUCAUACAUGGAUCCCUUCUCAGAUUUCAUGGCUUCUAGCCAUUUUGCGGAAUCUGGGCUCAUCAUCGCUUCCUCAUAGUUCGUAGGUUCAUCAUGGUCAAGUAACAUGACUUCCAAAAUAGGAUUACCGUACCACUCUGGUGUGGAUCUUACAUUGGUAGACCUACGAGGCUCAGUAGAAACUUGAUCUGAAGUUUCAUGAUCAUUAUCAUUAGCUUCCUCACUAAUUGGUGUAGUUGUCACAGGAACCGGUUCUCGUGAUGAACUACUUUCCAAUAAGGGAGUAGAUACAGUUAUCUCAUCAAGUUCUACUUUCCUCCCACUCACUUCUUUCGAGAGAAACUCCUUCUCUAGAAAGGAUCCAUUCUUAGCAACGAAUGUCUUGCCUUCGGAUCUGUGAUAGAAGGUGUACCCAACAGUCUCUUUUGGGUAUCCUAUGAAGACACAUUUCUCCGAUUUGGAUUCGAGCUUAUCUGGUUGAAGUUUCUUCACAUAAGCAUCGCAGCCCCAAACUUUAAGAAACGACAACUUUGGUUUCUUGCCAAACCACAGUUCAUAAGGCAUCAUCUCAACGGAUUUUCAUGGUGCCCUAUUUAACGUGAAUGCGGCCGUCUCUAAAGCAUAACCCCAAAAUGAUAGCGGUAAAUCAGUAAGAGACAUCAAGAUCGCACCAUAUCAAGUAAAGUACGAUUACGAUGUUCGGACACACCAUUUCGUUGUGGUGUUCCAGGUGGCGUCAGUUGCGAAACUAUUCCACAUUGUUUCAAGUGUAGGCCAAACUCGUAACUCAAAUAUUCACCUCCACGAUCAGAUCGUAGAAACUUUAUUUUCUUGUUAUGAUGAUUUUCCACUUCACUCUGAAAUUCUUUGAACUUUUCAAAUGUUUCAGACUUGUGUUUCAUCAAGUAGAUAUACCCAUAUCUGCUCAAAUCAUCUGUGAAGGUGAGAAAAUAACGAUACCCGCCGCGAGCCUCAACAUUCAUUGGACCACAAACAUCAGUAUGUAUGAUUUCCAACAAAUCAGUUGCUUGCUCCAUAGUUCCGGAGAACGGCGUUUUAGUCAUCUUGCCCAUGAGGCACGGUUCGCAAGUACCAAGUGAUUCAUAAUCAAGUGAUUCCAAAAGCCCAUCAGUAUGGAGUUUCUUCAUGCGCUUUACACCGAUAUGACCCAGACGGCAGUGCCACAAGUAAGUUGCACUAUCGUUAUCAACUCUGCAUCUUUUGGUUUCAACACUAUGAAUAUGUGUAUCACUACUAUCGAGAUUCAAUAAAAAUAGACCACUCUUCAAGGGUGCAUGACCAUAAAAGAUAUUACUCAUAUAAAUAGAACAACAAUUAUUCUCUGAUUUAAAUGAAUAACCGUCUCGCAUCAAACAAGAUACAGAUAUAAUGUUCAUUCUCAACGCUGGCACCAAAUAACAAUUAUUUAGGUCUAAAACUAAUCCCGAAGGUAGAUGUAGAGGUAGCGUGCCGACCGCGAUCACAUCGACUUUGGAACCGUUUCCCACGCGCAUUGUCACCUCGUCCUUGGCCAGUGCUCGCUUAUUCCGUAGUCCCUGUUUCGAGUUGCAAAUAUUAGCAACAGAACCAGUAUCAAAUACCCAGGUGCUACUACGAGCUCUAGUUAGGUACACAUCAAUAACAUGUAUAUCACAUAUACCUUUGUUUACUUUGCCAUCCUUCUUAUCCGCCAAAUACUUGGGGUAGUUCCGCUUCCAGUGACCAGUCUUCUUGCAGUAGAAGCACUCAGUUUCAGGCUUAGGUCCAGACUUGGGUUUCUUCUCUUGAGCAGCAACUUGCUUGUUGUUCUUCUUGAAGUUCCCCUUCUUCUUCCCUUUGCCCUUUUUCUUGAAACUAGUGGUCUUGUUGACCAUCAACACUUGAUGCUCCUUCUUGAUUUCUACCUCCGCAGCUUUUAGCAUUGCGAAGAGCUCGGGCAUAGUCUUGUUCAUCCCUUGCAUAUUAUAGUUCAUCACAAAGCUCUUGUAGCUUGGUGGCAGUGAUUGGAGAAUUCUGUCAAUGACACUAUCAUCCGGAAGAUUAACUCCCAGUUGAAUCAAGUGAUUAUUAUACCCAGACAUUUUGAGUAUAUGCUCACUGACAGAACUAUUCUCCUCCAUCUUGCAGCUGUAGAACUUAUUGGAGACUUCAUAUCUCUCAAUCCGGGCAUUUGCUUGAAAUAUUAACUUCAACUCCUGGAACAUCUCAUAUGCUCCAUGACGUUCAAAACGUCGUUGAAGGCCUGGUUCUAAGCCGUAAAGCAUGGCACACUGAACUAUAGAGUAGUCAUCAGCUUUGCUCUGCCAGACGUUCUUAACGUCGUCAGUUGCAUCAGCAGCAGGCCUGGCACCCACCGGUGCUUCCGGGACGUAACUUUUCUGUGCAGCAAUGAGGAUAAUCCUCAGGUUACGGACCCAGUCCGUGUAAUUGCUACCAUCAUCUUUCAACUUUGCUUUCUCAAGGAACGCAUUAAAAUUCAACGGAACAACAGCACGAGCCAUCUAUCUACAAACAAACAUAGACAAGCAAAAUACUAUCAGGUACUAAGUUCAUGAUAAAUUUAAGUUCAAUUAAUCAUAUUACUUAAGAACUCCCACUUAGACAGACAUCUCUCUAGUCAUCUAAGUGAUUACGUGAUCCAAAUCAACUAAACCAUGACCGAUCAUCACGUGAGAUGGAGUAGUUUUCAAUGGUGAACAUCACUAUGUUGAUCAUAUCUACUAUAUGAUUCACGCUCGACCUUUCGGUCUCCGUGUUCCGAGGCCAUAUCUGCAUAUGCUAGGCUCGUCAAGUAUAACCUGAGUAUUCUGCGUGUGCAAAACUGGCUUGCGCCCAUUGUAGAUGGAUGUAGAGCUUAUCACACCCGAUCAUCACGUGGUGUCUGGGCACGACGAACUUUGGCAACGGUGCAUACUCAGGGAGAACACUUCUUGAUAAUUUUAGUGAGAGAUCAUCUUAAAAUUCUACCAUCAAUCAAAGCAAGAUAAGAUGCAUAAAGGAUAAACAUCACAUGCAAUCAAUAUAAGUGAUAUGAUAUGGCCAUCAUCAUCUUGUGCUUGUGAUCUCCAUCUCUGAAGCACCGUUGUGAUCACCAUCGUCACCGGCGCGACACCUUGAUCUUCAUCGUAGCAUCGUUGUCGUUUACGCCAUCUAUUGCUUCUACGACUAUCGCUACCGCUUAGUGAUAAAGUAAAGCAAUUACAGGGCGUUUGCGUUUCAUACAAUAAAGCGACAACCAUAUGGCUCCUGCCAGUUGCCGAUAACUUCGGUUACAAAACAUGAUCAUCUCAUACAAUAAAAUAUAGCAUCACGUCUUGACCAUAUCACAUCACAACAUGCCCUGCAAAAACAAGUUAGACGUCCUCUACUUUGUUGUUGCAAAUUUUACGUGGCUGCUACGGGCUUAGCAAGAACCGUUCUUACCUACGCAUCAAAAACCACAACGAUAAUUCGUCAAGUUGGUGCUGUUUUAACCUUCGCAAGGACCGGGCGUAGCCACACUCGAUUCAGCUAAAGUGAGAGAGACAGACACCCGCCAGCCACCUUUAAGCACGAGUGCUCGUAACGCUGAAACCAGUCUCGCGUAAGCGUACGCGUAAUGUCGGUCCGGGCCGCUUCAUCUCACAAUACCGCCGAACCAAAGUAUGACAUGCUGGUACGUAGUAUGACUUGUAUCGCCCACAACUCACUUGUGUUCUACUCGUGCAUAUAACAUCAACGCAUAAAACCUAGGCUCGGAUGCCACUGUUGGGGAACGUAGUAAUUUCAAAUAAAUUCCUACACACACGCAAGAUCAUGGUGAUGGCAUAGCAACGAGAGGGGAGAGUGUUCGUGCAUGUACCCUCGUAGACCGUAAGCGGAAGCGUUAGUACAACGCGGUUGAUGUAGUCGUACAUCUUCACGAUCCGACUGAUCCAAGCACCGAACGUACGGGGCCUCCUAGUUUAGCACACGUUCAGCUCGAUGACGAUCUCCGGCCUCCGAUCCAGCCGAGCUCCGGAGAUGAGUUCCAUCAGCACGACGGCGUGGCGACAAUGAUGAUGUUCUACCGACGCAGGGCUUCGCCUUAACUCCGCGACGAUAUGACCGAGGUGGAAUAUGGUGGAGGGGGGCACCGAACACGGCUAAGGAACGAUCCGUAGAUCAAAUUGUGUGUCUUUGGGGUGCCCCCCUGCCCCCGUAUAUAAAGGAGCCAGGGGGGAGGAGGCGGCCGGCCAAGGAGGGCGCGCCAAGGGGGGAGUCCUACUCCCACCGGGAGUAGGACUCCCUUCUUUCCAAGUAGGAGUAGGAGAAGGGGGAAAGAGGAGGAAGAGGGGAAGGAAAGGGGGGGCGCCCCCCUUCCCUUGUCCUAUUCGGACUAGGAGGGGGAGGGGCACGCGACCCCCUCCUGGCUCCUUCCCUCUUCUCCCUCGUGGCCCAUGUAGGCCCAAUAAUCCCCCGGGGGGUUUCGGUAACCUCCCGGUACUCCAGUAAAAUGCCGAUUUCACCCGGAACCAUUCCGAUGUCCAAACAUAGGCUUCCAAUAUAUCAAUCUUUAUGUCUCGACCAUUUCGAGACUCCUCGUCAUGUCCGUGAUCACAUCUGGGACUCCGAACAAACUUCGGUAUAUCAAAACUUAUAAACUCAUAAUAAAACUAUCAUCGUAACGUUAAGCGUGCGGACCCUAUGGGUUCGAGAACUAUGUAGACAUGACCUAGAACCAUUCUCGGUCAAUAACCAAUAGCGGGACCUGGAUGCCCAUAUUGGUUCCUACAUAUUCUACGAAGAUCUUUAUCGGUCAAACCGCAUAACAACAUACGUUAUUCCCUUUGUCAUCGGUAUGUUACUUGCCCGAGAUUUGAUCGUCGGUAUCCAAUACCUAGUUCAAUCUCGUUACCGGCAAGUCUCUUUUCUUGUUCCGUAAUACAUCAUCUUAUAACUAACUCAUUAGUUACAAUGCUUGCAAGGCUUAGGUGAUGAGUAUUACCGAGAGGGCCCAGAGAUACCUCUCCGACAAUCGGAGUGACAAAACCUAAUCUCGAAUUAUGCCAACCCAACAUGUACCUUCGGAGACACCUGUAGAGCACCUUUAUAAUAACCCAGUUACGUUGUGACGUUUGGUAGCACACAAAGUGUUCCUCCGGUAAACGGGAGUUGCAUAAUCUCAUAGUUGCAGGAACUUUGUAUAAGUCAUGAAGAAAGCAAUAGCAGUAUACUAAACGAUCAAGUGCUAGGCUAACGGAAUGGGUCAUGUCAAUCACAUCAUUCUCCUAAUGAUGUGAUCUCAUUAAUCAAAUGACAACACAUGUCUAUGGUUAGGAAACAUAACCAUCUUUGAUUAAUGAGCUAGUCAAGUAGAGGCAUACUAGUGACUAUAUGCUUGUCUAUGUAUUCACACAUGUAUCAUGUUUCCGGUUAAUAGAAUUCUAGCAUGAAUAAUAAACAUUUAUCAUGAUAUGAGGAAAUAAAUAAUAACUUUAUUAUUGCCUCUAGGGCAUAUUUCCUUCACUUCGGCGGUACUACCGCAGAAGACCGCGGUACUACCGCUGGGGUAGGUCAGGGCAGGAACACGGAAGGAAGAGCUGCUCCAUUGCAGCGGGAAGGAAGACAUUGAGUGUGAAAUGGAUGUGUACGUGUUGAUUCCACCCUAGUCUUACCAAAGCGGAUCCGCUCUUGAUAGUACGUUGACUCCUACGAAACUAGUCCACCAACAGAGAGACGAAGGAGCUACACCGUCUUGAAAGACACACGGAGGGGAGGAAAUCGUCUCGUGCCAAUGAAUGAAUCUCUGAAAGAAUUUAACGCACAUGAUUAGUCCGCAAAAGCAUUGUCAUCAAUCACCAAAACAUCUUGGGGAUAAAUAUGCCCUUACAGUUGCAUUGUAAUUAAUGAAGCCAAAUUUCUAAAUGGUUCACAUUCCUUCCGCAGGACACUCAAAGCAGUAGCGCGGGGUCGUCUCAGAGCUUCCUUGGGACAACACUUUAAAUAGGGUGUUGAACAUAAUGAAAAACAAGGAUAAGUUCAGUAAGCCGUCGUCAGCUGGUCGUGUGGCCGGUAAAGGCUUGUCUACGAAAUAGUCGGAAUACUAUAACGCUGGUGGGCGAAAGGAGACAAAGACCAGCUCGGAAAGCCAGUCGCGCGAGGUUCAAGAACUCAAGGCACAAGUGGCGCGGAUUCCGGAGAUGGUCCAAGAGCAAGUGCAACACCAACUGGGAGCGACGAUCACCGCCAUUGUGCCUACCUUGAUUGAGGGGCUGCGGGCGUGGAUUGCGGGCGGCCAACAGGGGCCGCCCCCAGUUCCCGGCUUCACGGCCAGCAACCCGCACAAUGCGCAGGCGGCGCCAUUGGUGUCUCCGGCGGAGGCGGUAUUGGUGUCUCCAGCGCCGGCGCGUGCAUUGGAGCUUAAUGCACCCGGGUGUGCGAAGAAUACGCCGGCCGGCACCUCGGCAGCAAGCGACCCCUCCGUCACUUGCACGCCCGCCGUUGGCGGUGCCUCGACAUUAGCCGAGCUCGACACCAUCACGGUAACUAAGCCUCUCGGCCGAUGACUUCAUCUCCUUGCCUUUGACUGGGCAUCCCUGACGUCCUACAUGUUUUCGCAGGGCGCCGCUGAUGUUCCAUGCACUCUCCUGCACUUCAUGGGCGGCGAGUUGAUCGAUGUCGCCAAGGGCAGAAUCGUUCAACCGGGCAACCCCGUGUUCCACGGUAAUCCGAUGCCACCCACCGUGUAUAGGGUUCAACUCGUUCGGGUGCUACCAGGCUGCGACGACUUGUUACCUCCGUUUCGACCCGCUGGGGCCGACGAAGAUGAUGUGAUGGCCCUCAGCGCCUGCUUAAGCUGGCCCCUGCUUUGGCCGAAGAGCCAGAUUCGUUUGGGGGCGGGGGACACCACCCCACAGACAACACCGCCAGUCGUGCCGGCGCCAAGCCAUGGCAAGACCGCCGCAACGCUACCAGACAUGCCGGACAUGCAUAUGGCACAGGAUCCAGACAUGCAUAUGGCACAGGAUCCGGACGACGACGACGGUACAUUUACCAACGUCGAUAAGCACUUCAACGAACAUGGAUACGGUGACGAAUUCUUGGGGCCUCCUUCUCAACAACCCAACCCUGCAAAAGACGACCGCGAUCUAGCUGGUACCGCGGAGAAACCCAAUUGCAACAGGCGUCGUCUGACGUUCAGUUCUCAGGAGACGCCUCCAGCCGCCGCCUUCACCGAGCCUCAGAUAGCCGAGGUGCGAAAUAUUAUCAGCCCCAACACACUCAAGAAGGCGGUCUCUGAGCAGAACUCGAUCCCAUUAUAGCAGAAGAAGAAGGGACAGAAAAGAAAGAAUAACAUGAAAAGAAAGAAUAAUAUUAUCAGCCCCAUUGUAGAAUAUUUGGGAUUCCUUAAAUUUCUUUAAAACAUGUGAACUGUCUAUAAAAAUACAAAUAAAUUAAAAAAUAUAUAAAAACAUCAAAAGGUUUGAAAUAUAUGAUUUUUAAAAAGAACACAAACAUUUUUUUAAACUUCGACCAAAAUUUGGAAAAAGCAAACAUUUUCUGGAUGUGUGAACUUUUUUGGAUGCGGGAACAUUUUUCCAAAUACAUAUUUUUUAAUUUGUGAUAAAAAUGAGAAAAGGACUAUUUUUUUGAACUUCCAAUCUCUUUAAAGCAUCACAAUUUUUUAUAUUCUUGAACAGUUUUUGAAAUGAACAAAGUAUGAAAAUACGAGCAUUUUUUGAAAAUUGAACAGAAUUUAAUAACAUGUUUAUUUUUUGAAAACGUGAACAAUUUUGGAAGAUUGCAAACUGAUUUAGAAAUUCCCAAUAGGCUCCUGACGGGAGCGAUACCGUCGCCUAGUUUGUCCGAGGCCUAAACGUCUUUUUCCUUCUAUUAUUUUUAUUCUUCUCUUUUUUCAUUAAUUCAUUGUUCUCCCUUUUGAACUUUAUAAUUCUUUUUGAAACCUAGUCAAAAAAUUGAAAUAUUGUUUGGAAUACCAAAAUAACUGUUUUAAGCAAAUGUUAUAAAUUAUGGUUCUAAGUUCUUUUUUCAUAAAUAAUUUUUUUCAUGUUCUUAUAUAACCAAUUCAAGGCACCAUGCCAAGUCGUUUGAUAUUUUCGAGAAUUUCUACAUGUUCUAGAGUUUUCUCGACGAAAAUGGCCGAUAAAUGGCUGGACAUGAUGCAUCUUGCAUAUUCUGUCGGAAACUGGCCGAAGCCAAAGUGUGAGAAUAAAUAGUUGAAGUCGUACUUAAUACACUUGGUAAGAGUUAAAUAUGCUUGGUUGGUACCUACCACUGAACUUCCCUCAUGUCUGUACAUAGCCAAAAUGCCUCUGCCAACAAAACUUGCCUUAUGUCUGAUGGGUCGGCCCAUCGACAUAAUACUGUAACAAGCUGGGAGCGAGAGAAUUUUUUGUUGCAUUACUGUUUGUACAUAUUUUUAUUUUCUACUGGUUUUUGCAUUAUAUUUUCGAAAGACAUAUGGAAUACUUAGUUUAUAGAACAUUUGAAAAGAAUCCACAAAGUUUUUGUAAAAUGUCGAAUUGUUUCAAAAAGCUAAGAUUUUUUGAAAAAUAUCGUCAACAUUUUCUCAAAUAUUACAAAAUAAAUUUGAAGUAUUAUAUUUUGGAAACAAGAAGAUUUUCAAAUUUUAUAUAUUUAUUCAAAACUUAAAAAAAAUCUUUCUAAUAUGUGAACAUUAGUGCAGAGACGAACAAUUUUGAAUUUUUGCUAUUCUUUUUAAGUAAACAACUUAAAUUAUAAAUGAAAAAACAAACAAGGAAAAUAAAAACAGGAACAAAAAACAGGAACAAAAAAACAGAAAAAAAAGGAAAAUGAAAAAUAAUACUAAUAAACUAGAAAGUCUGCUAGAAGGUUCUCAAAACCGGUAAAAUAAUGGAAAUGAAUUCCUUGAACCCAUUGUUGUGUAUCAUCUAUAGCUAGCUAAUGUGUGAACUAGCGAUUGCUCGUUCCCCUCCAUGUGUGGAUCACCAGUGGUUUGACCGCAGAGAGCGUCAAAUAGGAUUUGCCACUUCUGAAAAAUACUCAUAAAGAGCUUCAAGACAGGCUUCGCCUGAGGUACUUUUUUUCAUGAGCCGGCACAAUAGUAAAUGGGUAUUCCUUUUUCUUCUUUUCUUUUUAUUUUACUAUCCCUUUUUAAAAUUUUAUCUUGUUUCGAUCAUUUGUUUUUCAUUUUUCUUUGUUCUAUGUUUUAAUGUUGUUAGGAAAUGUGUGAAUAAAUUGUUAAAAUUACAUGAACAUGUAUUAUAACAUUUAUGAACAACUAUUUGUCAAAUAUAUGAACGUUUUCCAAAUACAUACUGUUUUAUUUUUACAUGCAUAGCUUUGUUUAAUAUGAAGUGAACAUCAUUUUGUACACAUACAGUUUUAUCUGUAUUGUUAAGUUACCUUUUGAUUUUUGUGAACAUAAAGUAUGGAAUAAAAAUAUAUUUUGGGGCUUCUGAUUGAAAAAUGAAACAAUAUGAUAUAAUGGGCCAUGUGGCGGGCGCAUUUCCUAUUUCACGCCCUUUGCGUCGAUUAUUCGGUGUAACACACAGGUGCGAGCAACAAGUGGCCCAUUUAACGCUAGCACAGUAUUCCUAUUUUAGGAACCUUAUGGAAGAUUCUGUCCGGCUUUUUCUGCUGUUUCUGUACUUGUUUUUCCCGUUUUAUAUUAAAUUAUAUUUUUCGUUUUUCUUUUUCUGCUUAUUUACUUAUUUAUUUAUCUUUAUGAUUAGAAAAAUGCUCAAAGUAUUCAAAAUUUGUUCUGAAUUUCAAAAGAUCUGCGCCAUGGUAGCAGGCACAGUUAGGUUGUGUUUGGUUCAGUGGAUAGGUUUAUGUGGUUGUGGGUAUCCUCAGAAACCAAACACACCAACUAUCUCCGGCAUUUGAUUCCCAUCUCGAUCAUCCGAGUAACUCUCCUCCGGAAAAGUUAAGAGGAAACUGCCUUAAAAUUGUUCAGGCAUUGUAGCUUUACUGUGCGGUUACGUCUCAACUCUCUCACACAUUCAUUAGCUCACAUGUUUUGGUAGACCAAAGUGUUGUGCAACGUCUAGUGUUACAGUCCAGUCUCUUGCAAAAACAGUAGUCUCUCAACAAUUGGACUAGCAUGCAUACUGAUAAACUCACACGCUGCUCUGCUUAACACGGUACUAGCUUUAUGCAAACAGAACUAUCUACUCCUACAUUGCAGAAUGCUAACUUCAUACAAACAGAAUCUACAUGCAGCAACACGUGCCGUAUGCACCAUGGUGAUCACCGAGCGGACCAACUUCCAUAGCCCUGCAGAUCGAAUCGUCAGGGUGAGUUUGUUGGAAAUAUGAGUAAAUUACUACGAGAUUUAAUCCGAAUAAACAGAAGAUAAAUCAUGACUACAGUAGCAGAGAUUGAACUAAUCAUGCGAACUAGCAUAGCAGAUGAACAGAUCACAUGUAGGGCACAUACUAGAAACAUGAAUUCUACCAUGAUCUCGAACAGGAAAGAUAGAAUCACGUACGGUGCAGCGGAGCAGCACCGCCGGCGAUGACGUUGUCGCCCAUGUCGUCGAGGAUGAGGUUGCCGAGGUCGGGGAAGAAGUCGUCGUUCGCGAAGUCGUCGCUGCCAGUAGUCGCGCGAGUGCGCUCCCCAAAAACCUAAUCGCCCCUCUCGAUCAGGAGGGGUUCCGGAGGCCUGCUGUCUCUUCUCCCAGUGCACGCCGAAAGGAGGGAUGGAGAAGACUUGCUUGGCGGCGCAAUGAUCUGGAGCGGUGGUGAGAAACCAUACAAAGCGGCAGCAGAUAGGGUAGACGUCUGCCUGACUAUAUAAUGCGGGCCGGGUAGGUCGUGGGAGUAAACCCCACGUCUGAGUCGUCACGAUCCAAAAGAAUCGGAAACGCUUCAGUAAUUAACGUGUCCGUUAAUUUUUCCCGAGCAGCAAAAAUAUAGACAACGUGCAUAGCUCUGUCCUCGGCUCGGCUCAAUCCCGCAACCCGUGGCGCGGCGCGUCGUGACGAGGCGUGGCGUGGCGAGCGAGGAGGAGGAGUGCGCGUGUAGGUCUCCUCUUCUCAUGCUCAUACAAGUGGUAGGAGAGCUCACCUUAUAAAGAGGUGCAACUCUCUCUCAACUUAUGAGGUGGGACUAAACUUUAGCCCCACUCACUCCACUCACAUGUGUGCAUGAAUGGGCCAAGAGAAUUUCAGAAUUUUAGUUGGGCUUUGGGCCAAAAUCCCACUAGAAAAUUCCAACAAUCCCCCACAAACUCUCAUUGGCACAUUUCACCAUUUGUUUCCAAAACAUUGUUUAUAUACCGGUGCUUAGUGGAGAUUGUGAAGUUGAACUUCCACUUAGAGAUUUAUGCUACACUAGAUCACAACUUGAAUAGUGGACUAUGCCUUGAACUACAAGUUUUCUGCGAGACUAGUUUCACACAAAUUCUUGACUGGUACUUGGCUGCCGCAAGGCUUCCUCGCGGGUGGAGCGUAUACGUCGUACUCCAGGGCCUUUCAUGAAUUUAUUAGAGAGCACCCACUUCUCAUAGACUGCGAUGUUAACAGUCAAAUUCAUAUAGGUUUGUUCCUCAGGAGAUGCUCUACAGGACAACAUCUCUGCUUACUCAAAUAAGCCACUUCGAACACAUUAAGAUAGAUAUCAACCUGCCAUGCAGAUCAGGAGAGUAUUGCAUCUUCACAGAGUGGGAUAAUUAAAAUAAGGAUACUCUCUCAGCUGACCAACAGCUUGUAUCCCACUUCUACUUCACGGGAUCUCCGAUCACAUAGAGUGGGUUACCACUAUGGACAACUCAUGCGGUUGGUCUCAAACCCAUCUCCAUCGAUGCAUUAUCUAUCACAUUACGUGAUAGACCCUUUGUGAAGGGAUCUGCCAAGUUUUUCGACGUUUUGAUAUAAUCCAACGUAAUAACUCCGGAGUUCCUCAGUUUUCUGACAGAUUUUAAUCUCCUCUUCACAUGCCUUGAGGACUUCAUAUUGUCCUUAGAACUUUUUACCUUGACGAUCACAGUUUGAUUAUCACAGUUCAUCAGGAUAGGGGGUAUUGGUUUUUCAACCAUAGGUAAGUCCAUCAAUAGCUCACGAAGCCACUCUGCUUCAACAGUGGCAGUGUCUAAUGCUGUGAGUUCUGCUUCCAUAGUUGACCUCGUUAAGAUGGUCUGUGCUAUGUCUCGAGCUUGCGUUGGUUUUCUCUAAAGAGGAGAGGAUGAUGCAGCACAGUAGCGUAAGUAUUUCCCUCGGUUUUUGAGAACCAAGGUAUCAAUCCAGUAGGAGGUCACGUGCAAGUCCCUCGUACCUACACAACACGAUAGCAACUCGCAACCAACGCUUAGGGGUUGUCAAUCCCUUCACGGUCACUUACAAGAGUGAGAUCUGAUAGAGAUAAUAUUUUUGGUAUUUUUGAUAGAUAGAUGCAAAGUAAAUAGUAAAGGCAAAGUAAAAACAAAGCAAGUAAAUAAAGUGAUAGAGAUUGAUAUGAUGAAAAUAGACCUGGGGGCCAUAGGUUUCACUAGUGGCUUCUCUCAAGAGCAUAAGUAUUGUACGGUGGGUGAACAAAUUACUGUUGAGCAAUUGACAGAACUGAGCAUAGUUAUGAGUAUAUCCAGGCAAUGAUCAUGUAUAUAGGCAUCACGUCCGUGACAAGUAGAUUGAAACGAUUCUGCAUCUACUACUAUUACUCCACUCAUCGACCGCUAUCCAGCAUGCAUCUAGAGUAUUAAGUUAAAAACAGAGUAACGCCUUAAGCAAGAUGACAUGAUGUAGAAGGAUAAAUUCAUGCAAUAUGAUAAAAACCCCAUCUUGUUAUCCUCGAUGGCAACAAUACAAUACGUGCCUUGCAACUCUUUCUGUCACUGAGUAAGGACACCGCAAGAUUGAACCCAAAGCCAUGCACUUCUCCCAUUGCAAGAACUACCAAUCUAGUUGGCCAAACCAAACGGAUAAUUCGAAGAGACUUGCAAAGAUAACUCAAUCAUACAUAAAAGAAUUCAGAGAAGAAUCAAAUAUUUUCCAUAGAUAAUACUAGAUCAUAAACCCACUAUUCAUCGGUCUCAACAAACACACCACAAAAAGAAGAUUACAUCGAAUAGAUCUCCACAAGAGAGGGGGAGAACAUUGUAUUGAGAUCCAAAAAGAGAGAAGAAGCCAUCUAGCUACUAGCUAUGGACCCGAAGGUCUGAAGUGAACUACUCACACUUCAUAGGAGGGGCUAUGGUGAUGAUGUAGAAGCCCUCCGUGGUGGCUGCCCCCUCCGGCGGAGCUCCGGAACAGGCCCCAAGAUGGGAUCUCGUGGAUACUGAAGGUUGCGGCGGUGGAAUUAGGUUUUUUUGGCUCCCCUUGAUCAUACGGGGAUACGUAGGUAUAUAUAGGAGGAAGGAGUACGUCGGUGGAGCUCCGAGGGGCCCACGAGGUAGGGGGGCGCGCCCAGGGGGGCGCCCUCCACCCUCGUGACCUCCUCGGAAGCUUCAUGGAGUAGGGUCCAAGUCUCCUGGAUCACGUUCGAUGAGAAGAUCAUGUUCCCGAAGGUUUCAUUCCGUUUGGACUCCGUUUGAUAUUCCGUUUCUUCGAAACACUGAAAUAGGCAAAAAACAGCAAUUCUGGGCUGGGCCUCCGGUUAAUAGGUUAGUCCCAAAAAUAAUAUAAAAGUGAAAAAUAAAGCCCAAUAUAGUCCAAAAUAGUAGACAAAGUAGCAUGGAGCAAUCAAAAAUUAUAGAUACGUUGGAGACGUAUCAGUCUGCUUGCAAGACUUCCAGGAAACAGCGCCACCACCAAGUGUAAAAACAUAACCACUUGUGGCCUUAAUCUCAUCAGCAUCAGAUAUCCAGUUCGAGUCACUAUAACCCUCCAGUACCCUUGGAUACCCGGUGUAGUGAAUCCCAUAGCUCGCAGUGCCCUUCAAGUAGCGCAUAACUCUCUCAAGCGCACGCCAAUGAUCAUCUCCCGGUUUUGACACAAACCGACUCAGCUUGCUCACAGCAAAAUAGAUGUCAGGCCUCGUGGCACUCGCCAAAUACAUAAGCGAGCCAAUAAUCUGAGAAUACCUCAGUUGAUCUCUAGCAAUCUGUCGAUUCUUUCGAAGCAACACACUAGCAUCAUAUGGAGUUGGAGAAGGCGUGCAGUCGCUAUACCCAAAACGACUCAAGACCUUUUCCACAUAGUGAGACUGAAGUAGUGUGAUCCCACCAUUCUCAUCUCUCAACAGCUUGAUGUUUAAGAUAACAUCAGCUACUCCUAGAUCCUUCAUCUCAAAACAGCGAGAUAAGAAAUCCUUAACCUCCUUGAUUAAAUCAAGUUUGGUUCCAAAGAUCAAUAUGUCGUCGACAUACAGACAAAGAAUAACUCCUUCGCCCCCACCAUGGCGAUAGUACACACACUUGUCACCAUCAUUUACUACAAAGCCGGCAGCAGUUAAUGUUCUUUCGAACUUCUCAUGCCACUCCUUAGGAGCUUGUUUAGGGCCAUAUAAAGACUUUAAUAACUUGCACACCUUUCCUUCUUGACCAGGUACUACAAAACCAUCUGGCUGAUCCAUGUAAAUUUCCUCCUUCAACUCUCCAUUGAGGAAAGCCGUCUUAACGUCCAUUUGAUGAAUGAGAAGACCAUCCAGUGAUAGUAGCACCCGAAUUGUGGUCAGUCUAGCCACGGGUGAGUAAGUAUCAAAGAAGUCUUCACCUUCUUUCUGGGUAUAACCCUUAGCCACAAGCCGUGCCUUGUACUUUUCAAUCGUACCAUCAGGUCUAAGCUUCUUCUUGAACACCCACUUACAUCCUACAGGUUUGCACCCAUAAGGACGGUCAGUGAUCUUCCAGGUUCCGAUAGCUAAGAUGGAAUCCAUCUCGCUACGAACAGCUUCCUUCCAGUAGUCAGCAUCAGGAGAUGCAUAGGCUUCUGAAAUAGUCCUGGGUGUGUCAUCCACAAGGUACACAAUGAAAUCAUCACCAAAGGACUUUGCAUUCCUCUGUCUUUUACUCCUUAUAGGAGUUCCAUUGUCACCCUCAACAAGAUUCUCAACGUGUUCCAUCGCAAUGGUGUGUUCAGGAAUUACAGUGAGUUCCUCACUAGAUGGAAUAGGUAUCUCGUGAUUUGAUGAACUUGACAUAUCCUUCAUAGGAAAUAUGUCCUCAAAGAAAGUUGCAUCAUUAGACUCCAUAAUCGUACCAAUGUGCAUGUCGGAUACCUCAGAUUUUAUUAUCAAAAAUCUAUAGCCAAUGCUAUGAAAAGCAUAGCCCAGAAGAAUGCAAUCCACGGUUUUUGGUCCAAGCUUGCGCUUCUUGGGAAUUGGUAUAUUGACUUUCGCCAAACAACCCCAAGAACGUAGGUAAGAGAGUUUCAACCUUUUCCUUUCCCAUUCCUCAAAUGGAGUCAUGGUCUUAUGCUUUGUGGGAACUCGGUUUAGGACAUGACACGCGGUCAUUAGCGCCUCCCCCCACCAUUCCUUGGAAAGACCCGAUGUGUCUAACAUGGUGUUAACCAAAUCAGUUAGAGUUCGGUUCUUUCUUUCGGCCACCCCUUUAGACUGAGGUGAGUAGGGAGGCGUCCUCUCAUGGAUUAUACCAUGUUUCGCACAAAACAGAUCAAAUUCAUUGGAAAAAUACUCUCCACCACGAUCGGACCUAAGCCGUUUAAUUUUUCGAUCAAGUUGGUUCUCUGCCUCAGUUUUAUAGUUUUUGAAGAAAAUUAAAGCCUCAUCUUUUGAUUUCAGAAGAUACACAUAACAAUAUCUAGUGGAGUCAUCAAUCAACAUCAUGAAAUAUCUCUUUCCACCUUUUGUCAACUCGCCAUUCAUCUCACAAACAUCAGAAUGUAUAAGCUCUAGUGGCGCCAAGUCUCUUGCCUCUGCAGUCUUAUGGGACUUCCGAGGUUGUUUAGCUUGCACACAUACUUGGCACUUAGAGCCUUUGACAGUAGAGAUUUUCGGAAUUAAAUUCAUAUUGGCUAGCCGAAUCAUGCAACCAAAGUUAAUAUGACAAAGUCGUGAAUGCCAAAUAUCCGACUCAUUAUUGUGGCAAACAUUAUUAAUAACUUUAGUGCAAAUAUCUGACAAACAUAGGCGGAACAAGCCUCCGCACUCAUAGCCUUUUCCAACAAAUUGUCCACACUUGGAAAUUACAACAUUAUUGGACUCAAAAACCAACUUAAAACCAUCUCGACAUAAACGGGAACCGCUAACGAGAUUUUUAUUGAUGGACGGCACAUGAUGAAUGUUCUUCAGACGCACGGUCUUCCCCGAAGUAAACUUCAGAUCGACCAUACCAACACCUCGAACGAUGGCAUGUGACCCGUUCCCCAUCAGCACGGGAGAAGUCCAUGUGGCCUGGUAAGAAGAAAACAUAGAGGCGUCAGCACAAACAUGUACACUGUCACCAGUGUCAAUUAACCAAUCAGGGGAUUGAAAUACUGAAAGGAUGGUAGGAAAAAUACCGUACCCUGAUUCCUUCAUAUCAGUAUCAUCGAUGACAACAUUAGCGGACUUGCCGCCCUUCUCAUGUUCGCGCUCCUCAAAGCGGUUAGGACACUCCAGAGCCCAGUGAUUAGGAUCACCGCAGACAUGGCAAAGUCCCUUCCCCUUCUUAUGAGAAUUCUUCUUGAAGUUGGUAGAAUGUGAUGGCUUGUUCUUUGUAUCAAACUUGCCUUUCCGCUGAGUUUUGUUCUUGUUGUUUUUGAACUUAUUGGGCUGGAAGUUCUUCUUCUGUACCAUGUUGGUAUUAGAAGCUCCCUCGGCAACUCGAGCACGUGUGUCCUUUGCUCUCGCCUUCUCUUCAACAUCAAGAGUACCAAUGAGAUCCGCAACGGAAAACUCCUGUCUCUUGUGUGUCAGGGAAGUAGCAAAAUUGUUCCACGAAGGUGGAAGCUUGGCAAUAAUGCUUCCGGCAACAAAUUUGUCCGGCAACACACACUUGAAGUGCUCAAGUUCUUUUGCGAGCGACUGUAUCUCAUGAGCUUGCUGUACAACAGAGCGCUCAUCAGUCAUCUUGUAGUCAUAGAAUUGCUCCAUGACGUACAACUCGCUACCAGCGUCCGAGGCACCAAACUUGGCCUCGAGCGUAGCCCACAUGUCCUUGCCGUUGUCAAACGACAUAUACGAAUCCAGAAUGGAAUUAUCAAGAACACCCAGAAGAACACCUUUAAAGAGAGUAUCGAUCUUCUCAAAAGCUUCCAGCUGUGCUGGAUUAAGAUCGCCCUUAGGCUUGCCCUUAGUGGCGUCAUAGCAGCCCAUGGUCUGAAACCAGUAGACUGCUCUCGUGCGCCACCUCUUAUAUUCUGCCCCCUUAAAGGCAGGCGGCUUCAGAUGCGCAGCAAAACCACUCGGAGUAAAUUGCCUAUGAUCAGGUUUUUGGAUUGUUGGAAAUAUGAGCAAAUUACUACGAGAUUUAAUCCGAAUAAAUAGAAGAUAAAUCAUGACUACAGUAGCAGAGAUUGAACUAAUCAUGCGAACUAGCAUAGCAGAUGAAGAGAUCACAACUAGGGCACAUACUAGAAACAUGAAUUCUACCACGAUCUCGAACAGGAAAGAUAGAAUCACGUACAGUGCAGCGGGAGCAGCACCGCCGGCGUUGACGUUGUCGCCCAUGUCCUCGAGGAUGAGGUUGCCGAGGUCGGGGAAGAAGUCGUCAUUCGCUAUGUCGUCGCUGCCAGCAGUCGAGCGAGUGCGCUCCCUAAAAUCCUGAUCGCCCCUCUCCCAUAAAGGAUCAGGAGAGGAGGGGUUCCGGAGGCCUGCUGUCCCUUCUCCCAGUGCACGCCGAAAAGAGGGAUGGAGAAGACUUGCUUGGCGGUGCAAUGAUCUGGAGCAGUGGUGAGAAACCAUACGAAGCGGCAGCAGCUAGGGUAGACGUCUACCUGACUAUAUAAUGCGGGCCGGGUAGGUCGUGGGAGUAAACCCCACGUCCGAGUCGUCACGAUCCAAAAGAAUCGGAAAUGGUUCAGUAAUUAAUGCGUCCGUUAAUUAUUAAUUAAUGACUCAUUAAUUUUUCCCGAGCAGCAAAAAUAUAGACAACGUGCAUAUCUCUGUCCUCGGCUCGGCUCAAUUCCGCAACCCGCGUCGCGUCGUGACGAGGCGUGGCGUGGUGAGGCGAGCGAGGAGGAGGAGCGCGCGUGUAGGUCUCCUCUUCUCGUGCUCAUACAAGUGGUAGUAGAGCUCACCUUAUAAAGAGGUGCAACUCUCUCUCAACUUAUGAGGUGGGACUAAACUUUAGCAUCACUCACUCCACUCACAUGUGUGCAUGAAUGGGCCAAGAGAAUUUCAGAAUUUUAGUUGGGCUUUGGGCCAAAAUCCCACUAGCAAAUUCCAACAAUCCCCCACAAAAUCUCAUUGGCACAUUUCACCAUUCGUUUCCAAAACAUUGUUUAUAUACCGGUGCUUAGUGGAGACUGUGAAGUUGAACUUCCACUUAGAGAUUUAUGCUACACUAGAUCACAACUUGAAUAGUGGACUAUGCCUUGAACUACAAGUUUUUUGCGAGACUAGUUUCACACAAAUUCUUGACCGAUACUUGGCUGCCGCAAGGCUUCCCCGCGGGUGGAGCGUAUACAUCGUACUUCAGGGCCUUUCAUGAAUUUAUUAGAGAGCACCCACUUCUCACAAACUGCGACGUUUACAGUCAAAUUCAUAUAGGUGUGUUCCUCAGGAGAUGCUCUGCAGGACAACAUCUCUGCAUACUCAAAUAAGCCACUUGGAACACAUUAAGAUAGAUAUCAACCUGCCUUGCAGAUCAGGAGAGUAUUGCAUCUUCACGGAGUGGGAUAAUUAAAAUAAGGAUACUCUCCUCUUAGCUGACCAACAGCUUGUCUCCCACUUCUACUUCACGGGAUCUCCGAUCACAUAGAGUGGGUUACCACUAUGGACAACUCAUGCGGUGGGUCUCAAACCCAUCUCCAUCGAUGCAUUAUCUAUCACAUUACGUGAUAGACCCUCAGUGAAGGGAUCUGCCAAGUUUUUCGACGUUUGGAUAUAAUCCAACGUAAUAACUCUAGAGUUCCUCAGUUUCCUGACAGAUUUUAAUCUCCUCUUCACUUGCCUUGAGGACUUCAUAUUGUCCUUAGAACUGUUUAUCUUGAUGAUCACAGUUUGAUUAUCACAGUUCAUCAGGAUAGGGGGUAUUGGUUUUUCAACCACAGGUAAGUCCAUCAAUAGCUCAUGAAGCCACUCUGCUUCAACAGUGGCAGUGUCUAAUGCUGUGAGUUCUGCUUCCAUAGUUGACCUCGUUAAGAAGGUCUGCUUGCAAGACUUCCAGGAAACAGUGCCACCACCAAGUGUAAAAACAUAACCACUUGUGGCCUUAAUCUCAUCAACAUCAGAUAUCCAAUUCGAGUCAAUAUAACCCUCCAGUACCCUUGGAUACCCGGCGUAGUGAAUCCCAUAGCUUGCAGUGCCCUUCAAGUAGCCCAUAACUCUCUCAAGCGCACGCCAAUGAUCAUCUCCCGGUUUUGACACAAACCGACUCAGCUUGCUCACAGCAAAAGAGAUGUCAGGCCUCGUGGCACUCGCCAAAUACAUAAGCGAGCCAAUAAUCUGAGAAUACCUCAGUUGAUCUCUAGCAAUCUGUCGAUUCUUUCGAAGCAACACACUAGCAUCAUAUGGAGUUGGAGAAGGCGUGCAGUCGCUAUACCCAAAACAACUCAAGACCUUUUCCACAUAGUGAGACUGAAGUAGUGUGAUCCCACCAUUCUCAUCUCUCAACAGCUUGAUGUUUAAGAUAACAUCAGCUACUCCUAGAUCCUUCAUCUCAAAACAGCAAGAUAAGGAAUCCUUAACCUCCUUGAUUAAAUCAAGUUUGGUUGCAAAGAUCAAUAUGUCGUCGACAUAUAGACAAAGAAUAACUCCUUCGCCCCCACCAUGGCGAUAGUACACACACUUGUCACCAUCAUUUACUACUUAGCCGGCAGUAGUUAAUGUUCUUUCGAACUUCUCAUGCCACUCCUUAGGAGCUUGUUUAAGGCCAUAUAAAGACGUUAAUAACUUGCACACCUUUCCUUCUUGACCAGGUACUACAAAACCAUCUGGCUGAUCCAUGCAAAUUUCCUCCUUCAACUAUCCAUUGAGGAAAGCCGUCUUAACGUCCAUUUGAUGAACGAGAAGACCAUGUGAGGCAGCCAGUGAUAGUAGCACCCGAAUUGUGGUCAGUCUAGCCACUGGUGAGUAAGUAUCAAAGAAGUCUUCACCUUCUUUCUGGGUAUAACCCUUAGCCACAAGCCGUGCCUUGUACUUUUCAAUCGUACCAUCAAGUCUAAGCUUCUUCUUGAACACCCACUUACAUCCUACAGGUUUGCACCCAUAAGGACGGCUAGUGAUCUUCCAGGUUCCGUUAGUUAAGAUGGAAUCCAUCUCGCUACAAACAGCUUCCUUCAAGUAGUCAGCAUCAGGAGAUGCAUAGGCUUCUGAAAUAGUCCUGGGUGUGUCGUCCACAAGGUACACAAUGAAAUCAUCACCAAAGGACUUUGCAGUCCUCUGUCUCUUACUCCUUAUAGGAGUGUCAUUGUCACCCUCAACAGGAUUCUCAACGUGUUCCAUCGCAAUGGUGGGUUCAGGAAUUACAGUGAGUUCCUCACUAGAUGGAAUAGGUAUCUCCUGAUUUGAUGAACUUGACAUAUCCUUCAUAGGAAAUAUGUCCUCAAAGAAAGUUGCAUCACUAGACUCCAUAAUCGUACCAACAUGCAUGUUGGAUACCUCAGAUUUUAUUAUCAAAAAUCUAUAGCAAAUGCUAUGAAAAGCAUAGCCUAGAAUAACGCAAUCCACGGUUUUUGGUCCAAGCUUGCGCUUCUUGGGAAUUGGUAUAUUGACUUUCGCCAAACAACCCCAAGAACGUAGGUAAGAGAGUUUCAACCUUUUCCUUUCCCAUUCCUCAAAUGGAGUCAUGGUAUUAUGCUUUGUGGGAACUUGGGUUAAGACAUGACACGCGGUCAUUAGCGCCUCCCCCCACCAUUCCUUGGAAAGACCCGAUGUGUCUAACAUGGCGUUAACCAAAUCAGUUAGAAUUCGGUUCUUUCUUUCGGCCACGCCAUUAGACUGAGGUGAGUAGGGAGGCGUCCUCUCAUGGAUUAUACCACGUUCUGCACAAAACUUAUCAAAUUCAUUGGAAAAAUACUCUCCACCACGAUCGGACCUAAGCCGUUUAAUUUUUCGAUCAAGUUGGUUCUCUGCCUCAGCUUUAUAGUUUUUGAAGAAAAUUAAAGCCUCAUCUUUUGAUUUCAGAAGAUACACAUAAUAAUAUCUAGUGGAGUCAUCAAUCAACGUCAUGAAAUAUCUCUUUCCACCUUUUGUCAACACGCCAUUCUUCUCACAAAGAUCAGAACGUAUAAGCUCUAGUGGCGCCAAGUCUCUUGCUUCUGCAGUCUUAUGGGACUUGCGAGGUUGUUUAGCUUGCACACAUACUUGGCACUUAGAGCCUUUGAUAGUAGAUAUUUUCGUAAUUAAAUUAAUAUUGGCUAGCCGCGUCAUGCAACCAAAGUUAAUAUGACAAAGUCGUGAAUGCCAAAUAUCUGACUCAUUAUUGUGGCAAACAUUAUUAAUAACUUUAGUGCAAAUAUCUGACAAAGAUAGGCGGAACAAGCCUCCGCACUCAUAGCCUUUUCCAACAAAUUGUCCACACUUGGAAAUUACAACAUUAUUGGACUCAAAAACCAACUUAAAACCAUCUCGACAUAAACGGGAACCGCUAACGAGAUUUUUAUUGAUGGACGGCACAUGAUGAACGUUCUUCAGACGCACGGUCUUCCCCGAAGUAAACUUCAGAUCGACCAUACCAACACCUCGAACGAUGGCAUGUGACCCGUUCCCCAUCAGCACGGGAGAAGUCCAUGUGGCCUGGUAAGAAGAAAACAUAGAGGCGUCAACACAAACAUGUACACUGUCACUAGUGUCAACUAACCAAUCAGGGGAUUGAAAUACUGAAAGGAUGGUAGGAAAAAUACCGUACCCUGAUUCCUUCAUAUCAGUAUCAUCGAUGACAACAUUAGCGGACUUGCCGCCCUUCUCAUGUUCGCGCUCCUCAAAGUGGUUAGGACACUUCGGAGUCCAGUGAUUAAGAUCAUCGCAGACAUGGCAAAGUCCGUUCCCCUUCUUAUGAGAAUUCUUCUUGAAGUUGGUAGAAUGUGAUGGCUUGUUCUUUGUAUCAAACAUGCCUUUCCCCUGAGUUUUGUUCUUGUUGUUUUUGAACUUAUUGGGCUGGAAGUUCUUCUUCUGUACCAUGUGGGCACUAGAAGCUCCCUCGGCAACUCGAGAACGUGUGUCCUUUGCUCUCGCCUUCUCUUCAACAUCAAGAGUACCAAUGAGAUCCGCAACGGAAAACUCCUGUCUCUUGUGUUUCAGGGAAGUAGCAAAAUUGUUCCACGAAGGUGGAAGCUUGGCAAUAAUGCCUCUGGCAACAAAUUUUUCCGGCAAAACACACUUGAAGCGCUCAAGUUCUUUUGCGAGCGACUGUCUCUCAUGAGCCUGCUGUACAACAGAGCGCUCAUCAGUCAUCUUGUAGUCAUAGAAUUGCUCCAUGACAUACAACUCGCUAACGGCGUCCGAGGCACCAAACUUGGCCUCGAGCGCAUCCCACAUGUCCUUGCCGUUCUCAAACGACAUAUACGAAUCCACAAUGGAAUCAUCAAGAACACCAAGAAGAGCUCCUUUAAAGAGAGUAUCGAUCUUCUCAAAAGCUUCUAGCUGUGCUGGAUUAAGAUCGCCCUCAGGCUUGCCCUUAGUGGCGUCAUGGCAGCCCAUGGUCUGAAACCAGUAGAUUGCUCUCAUGCGCCACCUCUUAUAUUGUCCCCCCUUAAAGGAAGGCGGCUUCAGAUGCGCAGCAAAACCACUCGUAGUAAAUUGCCUAUGAUCAGGUUUUUGGAUUGUUGGAAAUAUGAGCAAAUUACUAUGAGAUUUAAUGCGCAUAAACAGAAGAUAAAUCAUGACUACAGUAGCAGAGAUUGAACUAAUCAUGCGAACUAGCAUAGCAGAUGAACAGAUCACAUCUAGGGCACAUACUAGAAACAUGAAUUCUACCACGAUCUCGAACAGGAAAGAUAGAAUCACGUACGGUGCAGCGGGAGCAGCACCACCGGCGUGGACGUUGUCGCCCAUGUCGUCGAGGAUGAGGUUGCCGAGGUCGGGGAAGAAGUAAUCGUUCGUGAAGUCGUCGCUGCCAGCAGUCGCAUGAGUGCGCUCCCCAAAAACCUGAUAGCCCCUCUCCCGUACAGGAUCAGGAGAGGCGGGGUUCCGGAGGCCUGCUGUCCCUUCUCCCAGUGCACGCCGAAAGGAGGGAUGGAGAAGACUUUCUUGGCGGCGCAAUGAUCUGGAGCGGUGGUGAGAAACCAUACGAAGCGGCAGCAGCUAGGGUAGACGUCCGCCUGACUAUAUAAUGCGGGCCGGGUAGGUCGUGGGAGUAAACCCCACGUCCGAGUCGUCACGAUCCAAAAGAAACGGAAACGGUUCAGUAAUUAAUGCGUCUGUUAAUUAUUAAUUAAUGACUCAUUAAUUUUUCCCUAGCAGCAAAAAUAUAGACAACGUGCAUAGCUCUGUCCUCGGCUCGGCUCAAUCCCGCAACCUGCGGCGCGUCGUGACGAGGCGUGGCGUGGCGAGGCGAGCGAGGAGGAGGAGCGCGCGUGUAGGUCUCCUCUUCUCAUGCUCAUACAAGUGGUAGGAGAGCUCACCUUAUAAAGAGGUGCAACUCCCUCUCAACUUAUGAGGUGGGACUAAACUUUAGCCUCACUCACUCCACUAACAUGUGUGCAUGAAUGGGCCAAGAGAAUUUCAGAAUUUUAGUUGGGCUUUGGGCCAAAAGCCCACAAGCAAAUUCCAACAAUCCCCCACAAAAUCUCAUUGGAACAUUUCACCAUUUGUUUCCAAAACAUUGUUUAUAUACGGGUGCUUACUAGAGACUGUGAAGUUGAACUUCCACUUGGAGAUUUAUGCUACACUAGAUCACAACUUGAAUAGUGGAUUAUGCCUUGAACUACAAGUUUCCUGCGAGUCUAGUUUCACACAAAUUCUUGACCGAUACUUGGCUGCCGCAAGGCUUCCCCGUGGGUGGAGCGUAUAUGUCGUACUCCAGGGCCUUUCAUGAAUUUAUUAGAGAGCACCCACUUCUCACAGACUGCGACGUUAACAGUCAAAUUCAUAUAGGUGUGUUCCUCAGGAGAUGCUCUGCAGGACAACAUCUCUGCUUACUCAAAUAAGCCACUUGGAACACAUUAAGAUAGAUAUCAACCUGCCAUGCAGAUCAGGAGAGUAUUGCAUCUUCAUGGAGUGGGAUAAUUAAAAUAAGCAUACUCUCCUCUCAGCUGACCAACAGCUUGUCUCCUACUUCUACUUCACGGGAUCUCCGAUCACAUAGAGUGGGUUACCAUUAUGGACAACUCAUGCGGUGGGUCUCAAACCCAUCUACAUCGAUGCAUUAUCUAUCACAUUAAGUGAUAGACCCUUUAUGAAGGGAUCUGCCAAGUUUUUCUACGUUUGGAUAUAAUCCAAAGUAAUAACUCCGGAGUUCCUCAGUUUCCUGACAGAUUUUAAUCUCCUCUUCACAUGCCUAGAGGACUUCGUAUUGUCCUUAGAACUGUUUAUCUUGACGGUUACAGUUUGAUUAUCACAGUUCAUCAGGAUAGGGGGCAUUGGUUUUUCAAACAUAGGUAAGUCCAUCAAUAGCUCACGAAGCCACUCUGCUUCAACAGUGGCAGUGUCUAAUGCUAUGAGUUCUGCUUCCAUAGUUGACCUUGUUAAGAUGGUAUGCUUGCAAGACUUCCAGGAAAUAGCGCCACCACCAAGUGUAAAAACAUAACCACUUGUGGCCUUAAUCUCAUCAGCAUCAGAUAUCCUGUUCGAGUCACUAUAACCCUCCAGUACCCUUGGAUACCCGGUGUAGUGAAUCCCAUAGCUCGCAGUGCCCUUCAAGUAGCGCAUAACUCUCUCAAGCGCACGCCAAUGAUCAUCUCCCGGUUUUGACACAAACCGACUCAGCUUGCUCACAGCAAAAGAGAUGUCAGGCCUCGUGGCACUCGCCAAAUACAUAAGUGAGCCAAUAAUCUGGGAAUACCUCAGAUGAUCUCUAGCAAUCCGUCGAUUCUUCCGAAGCAACACACUAGCAUCAUAUGGAGUUGGAGAAGGCGUGCAGUCGCUAUUCCCAAAACGACUCAAGACCUUUUCCUCAUAGUGAGACUGAAGCAGUGUGAUCCCACCAUUCUCAUCUCUCAACAGCUUGAUGUUUAAGAUAACAUCAGCUACUCCUAGAUCCUUCAUCUCAAAACAGCGAGAUAAGAAAUCCUUAACCUCCUUGAUUAAAUCAAGUUUGGUUCCAAAGAUAAAUAUGUCGUCGACAUACAGACAAAGAAUAACUCCUUCGCCCCCACCAUGGCGAUAGUACACACACUUGUCACCAUCAUUUACUACAAAGCCGGCAACAGUUAAUGUUCUUUCAAACUUCUCAUGCCACUCCUUAGGAGCUUGUUUAAGGCCAUAUAAAGACUUGAAUAACUUGCACACAUUUCCUUCUUGACCAGGUACUACAAAACCAUCUGGCUGAUCCAUGUAAAUUUCCUCCUUCAACUCUCCAUUGAGGAAAGCCGUCUUAACGUCCAUUUGAUGAACGAGAAGACCAUGUCAGGCAGCCAGUGAUAGUAGCACCCGAACUGUGGUCAGUAUAUCCACGGGUGAGUAAGUAUCAAAGAAGUCUUCACCUUCUUUCUGGGUAUAACCCUUAGCCACAAGCCGUGCCUUGUACUUUUCAAUCGUACCAUCAGGUCUAAGCUUCUUCUUGAACACCCACUUACAUCCUACAGGUUUGCACCCAUAAGGACGGUCAGUGAUCUUCCAGGUUCUGUUAGCUAAGAUGGAAUCCAUCUCGCUACGAACAGCUUCCUUCCAGUAGUCAGCAUCAGGAGAUGCAUAGGCUUCUAAAAUAGUCCUGGGUGUGUCGUCCACAAGGUACACAAUGAAAUCAUCACCAAAGGACUUUGCAGUCCUCUGUCUCUUACUCCUUAUAGGAGUUUCAUUGUCACCCUCAACAGGAUUCUCAACGUGUUCCAUCGCAAUGGUGGGUUCAGGAAUUAAAGUGAGUUCCUCACUAGAUGGAAUACACUACUAGGAAAUGGCCUACUAAUGGCGCACCGGUUUUGCCUACUAAUGGCGCACUACCGGUGCGCCAUUAGUAGCACGCCAUUAGAAUUUUUUAGUAAUGGCGCCCCACUGGCGCGCCAUUAGUACCUGGUAUACUAAUGGCGCGCCUAGCAGUGCGCCAUUAGUAUGUAACUCCAUGCGCCAUUAGCAUGCCUCCCGGGGGGCCAUAUGUAACCAUGUGCUUUGUCACACUAAUUGCACACUCUGCCUUGAUGCGCCAUUAGUAUCCUUUGGCAUACUAAUGGCGCACUCUGCCUUGAUGCGCCAUUAGUAUGAAUAUUUGGGUUUUUUUUGCUUUUCUGAUUUUUGCACAGGUUACAAAAUAUAUUAUUGGACAGAAUAUAGACAACAGCACACAGCAACAGCAGAUUCAUCGAAUACAAUAGAAGAUUAGUCUCCAAAUACAAUUCAUCAUAUUAGUCUCCGAAUUCAAAAGAUUGAACAAAGAUAAAACAUUACAAGUCUCAAGACCGCGAGUAUCGAGUUUGUCUUCACAUUACAAGUCGAUAUCGAUCAUCUAAAGUACCAUCACAUAAAAGAGAGUUGUGGUCAUCACGAUGAGCAUCAUCGCGGUCAAACUGGUCUUCAUCCGGUUCCUCCAACACUCCCUCCUCUCUCCCGCUAGAUAGCGGGCAUAUCUAGAUUCGGCCUCUGCCCUAGUGGUGUACCCUUUGUAACUGUUACCGCUGAAACGGUGAACCUGUCUCCGACACUCCUCCCAGUCGUCGUAGACUCCGGGAACCUUACCCUUGUACAAGACAUACGACGGCAUCUCUAUGCACAAGCCAAACAACAGACAAUACAUAAGCAAUAUGUAAGUAUGCAACAAAAGGAUCGGAAGAGAAAAGCAAGACAUUAAUAGCAUGAUUCAUGGUCCUACUAAUAAAUAACAUCGAUUGCAUCUAAGUUGAACGACUGUCCAAACCAAAGAGACAUACGAAUUCAUUUAAGUUUAAUUACAACAUGAGCCAAUCAAUGUUUCAGAACUACACAUCACUACUUUCGACUCGACCCAGCGGACAGGAGCCUGGAUGAAGCCGCCGUCUGUCGUGAUGGUCAUGAAAUCGCGGUCGUUGUCACCCUGCAUUUGUAGCAUUCCAUCUAUCUCAUUGUUGGACGGUUGAUAUCUGAGGUAGAACUGCCCCGAGGUAUGAAGGACAUCUUGAUGGAUGAUGUCCGCAAAGUCCGACUGGAUGCGAAAGAAUUCUUUUCUGAGGUCCGCGUCCUGGAUUGCCGACAAGUUCGCGGUCCAACCUUUGAGAUUAUCUGGUAGCAGAAGUUGAUGAUGGCCCCUUACGAUCGCCCGCAUGUGAUGGAGGGCGUAGUAGGCAUCCUUCUGACCGCCAGGCGGCUGCUUGACGCAGCAGAACUUCGUAUUGUGUGAGAACAUGUGCUUGCCGUACUUACGAAACGCCCUGGUGAAGGUGCCUCCAGAUUUGGCGUAGCCGGGGAGAACAUCAUCAAGAACUUUCUUGACAUUUGUGUAGUCUAUCUUGGAGUUACGGUUCGGGUCGAAAUACGUGGCCAUGGAAUAUUUCGGGCUUAAGAGGAUGAGUGUGCAAUGUGUGUCACUGCACAGAACACGGAAUGUUAGAAAAAAAAAGAACGAUUGAAAUCUAAGAAAUCAUAUGUUACGGGGCGGUUAAGGGAUGACUUAAUCGGGAAAGUAAGCCACAAGGAAGUUAUCCUUAUCUGGGUUUGCCAGAAUGACGCCUUCGAGGUGUGAACUCGCAACUUGGCGGUCCCCAACGCUGCUCAAGUGCUUGGCACGCAUGUAGAAGGGGUCGACUAUCACGAUGUCCGGGGUCUUGUCUCUAAUGAUCCGCAUCUCCAUACUCAGCGAAAAUAGCCGAACGAAGGUGUAGUGCAGCGGAUGAAGGUUAAACAUGGCAAAGAUGUCAUCAAACCGCAGGACGAUCGUACCCCCGAUGUCGCCAUCCACAAAGCCCUUGCCCUCUGGCACCUUGGCCAUGAAAACCGGGUAUGCCACAUCCUUCUCUCUGAGACACCGCUUCUCCAAAGAAAUAACACUGUCGUGCAGACUCCGCAUAGCACCGGUUGCAGCAUUCAUCAUAUUUGGCGAUAGCAUCGCCCUACCCGCCACAUGCACCCUCCUCGAGAUAUCCUUAGGUGAAGGUGGCCCGUCCUGAGCACGGAUCGAACUCGGUGCCGGCUGGCUCGCACCGGCGCCCUUGUUAGUCUUUUGUUUCAGUCCCUUCUUCUUGAUCUCCUGUAAUGGGACCGAGUUCUGCUCAUAGACCGCUUUCUUGAGCAUGUUGGGGCUAAUAAUAUUUCGCACCUCAGCUAUCUGAAGCUCGGUGAAGGCGGGAGCUGGAGGCGUCUCCUGAGAACUGAACGCCAGACGAUGCCUAUUGCAAUUGGAUUUCUCCGCCGUACCAGCUAGAUUGCGGUCGUCUUGGUUGGGUUCUUGAGAAAGAGGCCCGCAGAACUCGUCAGCGUACCCAUGUUCGGCAAAGUACUUAUCGACUUUGGUAAAUGUACCGUCGUCAUUGUCGUCGUCGUCCGGAUCCUGUGCCAUAGGGCUGUUCGGAUCCUGUGCCAUAGGGAUGUCCGACAUAGGGAUGUGCGACAGGUCCGGUAGCGUUGCGAUGUUCUUGCCAUGGCUUGGCGCCGGCACGACUGGCGGUCUUGUCUGUGGGGUGGUGUCCCCCGCCCCCAAACGAAUCUGGCUCUUCGGCCAAAGCAGCGGCCAGUUUACGCAGGCGUUGAGGGUCAUCUCAUCUUCUUCGUCGGCCCCAGCGGGUCGAACCGGAGGUAACAGCUUGUUGCAGCCUGGCAGCACCCGAACCACUUCAACCCUAUACACUGUGGGUGGCAUCGGAUUACCGUGGAACAUGUGGUUGCCCGGUUGAACGAUUCUGCCCUUGGCGACAUCGACCAACUCGGCGCCCACGAAGUGCAGAAGAGUGCAAGGAACGUCGGCGGUGCCCUGCGAAAACAUGUAUAGGGCGUCAGGGAUGCCUAGUCAAAGGCAAGGAGAUGAAGUCAUCGGCCGAGAGGCUUAGUUACCAUGAUGCCGUCGAGCUCGGCUAAUGUCGAGGCACCGCCAACGGCGGGCGUGCAACUGACGGAGGGGGCGCUUGCUGGCGAGGUGCCGGCCGGCGUACACCCGGGUGCAUUAAGCUCCAAUGCCCGUGCCGGCGCCGGAGACACGAAUACCGCCUCCGCCGGAGACACCAAUGGUGCCGCCGCCGAAGACACCAAUGGCGCCGCUGGAGAUACCAAUGGCUCCGCCUGCGCGCUAUGCGAGUUGCUGGCCGUGAAGCUGGGAACCGGGGGAGGCCCAUGUUGGCCGCCCGCAAUCCACAUCAUCAGCCCAUGAAUCAACGCAAGCACCAUGGCGUUGAGCUUCGUUCCCAGUUGUUGUUCCACUUGCUCUUGGACAAGCUCCGGAAUCCACGCCACUUGUGCCUUGAGUGCUUCAACCUCGCGCGUCUGGCUUUCCGAGCUGGCCUUUUUCUCCUUCUGCACACUAGCGUUAUAGUAUGUCCCCCAUUUUGUGGACAAGCCUUUGCCGGCCACACGACCAGCUGACGUCGGCUUAGUGAGCUUAUCAUUGCUUUUCAUUAUGUUCAACGCCCUAUUUAAAGGGGUGUCAAAAGGGGAGCUCUGAGAUGACCCCGCGCUACUGCUUUCAGUUUCCUACGAAAGGAACGUGAACCAUUUAGAAAUAUUGGGGAUUAAUUAGAGUGCAACCAUAUGGAGCUAAUUACGCGGGGGUGUAUUCCUUACCAGAACAAGCUCAAGCGCCCUGGUCUUCAGAUCUGUGGUAAGCUCCUUUGUUAUCGGAUCCUCCUUGUACCGGGCCCUGACAUAGUUCCUGGUCUGCUUGUUACCGCUGUAUUUCUCGAAGCGGGGCGGUAGGCCUUGCUCGGCACGCUCCGCGUCCUCCUUGUCCCAUAUAGGCUCCGCCACUCUGUAACCGCCGGGACCGAGUUUGUGUUCCCCUAAGUUCAACUCCCGCAUUUCUUUCCCCCACUGACUUGAUUCGGAGGUUGCAUUGCUCGAGCACUUGAUCUUGAACUCCUUGUACUCAUCUUCGCUCAUCAAAGGAUAUUUCGCCUUGAUCUUCUCAUAACUAUCACAUUUAUCAAUCAUUUUCUUCACCGCGCUUCUCCAAGUAGACAGGGCCGUGCUCAUCUUCGUGAGGGCGGCACUGUUCACUUUAUUCCCUGAGAGGCGUGUGUUUUCAAAUUCGGCGGGGAACUUGUAUCGUUCGUGCAGCUUCGUGAAGAGGAGGUUGCGCAAAUUCCCUCGGUCCUAAUGCCUAAGGUUCUCGGUGUUGAUCGAGAUGGUGCUCCGGAGAAUGCACCCGAGCUGAACCGAGUACCCCUUGACUAUAUGUUUGGGCUACGUUGGAUUCCCGCCGGAGUCCACUUGAGUAAAUUCCUCCUUGAUGGUGCGGAGCGCAUUCGGAUGCCGGUCCUUCCUUUGCUUCUUCAAUUGGCUGCCAUCUGUGUGUGCGCGGCCAUCAUCAGUGGUGGCAUCCUCGGCGGCACCAUCAGUGGUGUCAUCCCCGACGCCACUAGGGGUUGUGUAAUCAGGAUCGGUGUCUUCCGCGGCGUCCUCAUAGCGGUGAGGUUGUUCCUCCAUAUCCUGGGACAGCUCCCAGAAUUGCUUGCCGCCCGAACCACCAGCCUCAUCGUUGUGGGCCAUGUUUCGCUCUAAAUAGGAAAAAAGUUUGGUCAAAAAGUUGGUUAUUGUCAAGGAACAAGAUCAUGGUCUCAUCAUUUAGGGUUUGUCGACACCGAGGUACCCUAAAAGCCUAAGCUUUCAUCAUUUAGGGUUUGUCGACGCCGAGGCACCCUAAAAGCCUAAGCGUACAUCAUUUAGGUUCUCAUCGACACCGAGGCAUCCGGGGCAGCCAAGUUAAGUUUUCAUAAUUUAGGGUUUAUCGAUGCCGAGGCACCCUAGGUUGGGCCUAAUCACUUGGCUCUAUUGCCACCUAUGGUUUAAUACAGCAAGAAUAAAGGGGCAGUUGAUCCUACUUAAUUAAGUACUAAGAUACCCCGGCCCAUGCAUUAGUAGCAAGUACCUCAUAUGUCCGAUUUUUAGCAAAGUCAUGCUAAAAUUCGCGGAAAAUUUCAGCAUGACCUUUGCUGAAAAUAGGACAUAUGGAGUACCCGAAUUUGCCGGAACGGAAGUUAAUCAACAUUCCGGCAAACUCAAGGGCCUCUCGGGGUACCUGCAAAAUCAUCACGACAUGAAGGGCCUCUCAAGGGCCUCAAGCAGCAGCGGCGUCUCCCAGGACCCCAUUUUUUUGCUAAAUUUCAUUGAGCAACAAUCAGAGCAGUAAAUUCAGCAUAUUUCUAUACAACAGCACUGUAAAGAUGAAGAACAGUUCUACAACAGCCCAUUUAUAUACAAUAGCAUCUUUGGUCAUACCAAUUUCUGAAACAAUUCAAAGAUGAAGAAAUUAACUAUGUAUAGUUUAUUCUUUUUAUACCAGGAACUAUUUUAGUUUAUUAUUUAUUGUACCAGGGAGGAAUAUAACAAUCUUUUUUGGUAUAUAUCCUAGUUAUACUGCUGCAGGAAAGGAGGAUCAUCAUACACAUAUAUAUGUGCAUAAAAAUCAUAAAAAUUCAAAAUCACUUGAAACCUGAUCACUCGGACCACACCACAUGCCACAGCAUACAUAGUACAUAGAGUUGACAAUUUAGUUGCAAUCAUGUAGUAAUGGAUUGUUCUACCUAGCAGGUUGUUGGAAAUGGAUUGUUCUACAUAGCAGGUUGUUGGAAAUUCAGUUCCUUUUUUCAUUAGGGCUGGCAACAAGACAUGGUCAAAUUUCAAUUAAGAUUAUCUAUUGGCUCAAGACUGGCAACAAGACUUGUUCUACAAAAUCAAUUAUCUAUUGAGUAGUUCUUGUGCUCAUCCAGUAGCAACAUCUUUCAUACAUGAUCAGUAGUCAUGUACCAAAUUUUUAUUUAAACUAAAUUUGCAAAUCACCAAGAGCUCUACUAGUUUCAGACUAGAUUUACACUAAAUACACUAGAGUAUUUGACUAGUAGUCAGUUACAUUUACACUAGACUGAAGAAAUUGCUGCAUCACUAGACUGAAGAAAUUGUGUUGUCAGUUAGGGACUGAAGAAAAUGUGUUGCAGAUUUUGAUUUGCUUGUUGAUCUUCGGUUAACUCCAUAGAAGAGUUUUGUACUGAUUCAGUUAACUGACAGCAAGUAACAGCAUGUUCUAACAGCAACAGUUUCAGAGUACUACUCCAAAAUCCUCCUAGUUGUUGCUCACCUAAAUGGUUGAAUUCAAAGAACUAUAGUGGCCUUCGGUGAUUGAGAGCUUAAAAUUUCCAACAAUCUGAACAAACAAAGUAAAAAAGGAUCAGUAUCUCGUUUCAGCUGAUUUAUUCUUCAUAAGCAUAGGCUUUGUUUGUUGGAAACUAGCCUGUGAAACUGAAAUUUAACAGUAAACUGAAUUACUGUCAUUUAAUAGUAAACUGAAUUUUAAACUGAGUACUGGAGUAAACUUGCUGGAGUACAAAUUUAUGCAUUACUCCAUAUAUUUUGAAAUACCUAAUGCUAUGAGCUAUGUCAACAGGGCUACUCCAGUGCACAUCACUGCCUAGAGCAAACUGAAACCCACUCUUCUCUCUCUACCCAACGGGCUAAUCUAUAUGAAUGCAGUUUUAUCAACGGGCCAUAUAUCGAUAAGAACGACUAUUGCUGCCUAUGAAGCACAACACAGAUGUAUGGCAUGAACAAAUUCAAUCUACAAUGAGACUGAAGCAUCUAGAAGAUCAAAGUAAUCAUGUCAAAUUGCAAAAAAUUCAUUUGUUUAAGAAUGUUUGGCACUUUAACUAGAUCACAAGGGGCUCUGUACCUGCGGCGGCUGUGGCUGGAGGACGGCGCCGUCGACGAACUCGAGGGCGGGGGCACCGGAUGCUCCUCUCGUUGAUGGGGGAGGGGAGACGCUGGAGGCAAACCCUAGCCACCAAGCGCACGAGUGUUGCAGCUAGGUGGAGUAACAUCUGGCGAGAGAGAGGGAGGAUAGCUAGGGGGAGGGUUCUAAUGGCGCACCGUCCAGUCGUGCGCCAUAAGUAUGACUAUUCUAAUGGCGCACCUCCCAUCGGUGCGCCAUUAGAAUUUUGUUUUAAUCUAGCCCACUAACCAUAUCUACAACCUAACCCUAUCUACAACCGAACCCACCCACUAGCCCGACUGGUCAGCACGCAGCACAAACACCAGGAGAUCCUGGGUUCGAUUCCCAGGCUCCCCAAUAUUUUUUUAUGCAUUUUAAAUGCUUUUUUUAUAUUUAUUUGUGUUUAAAUAUGUUCAAACUUGUUUAAAUCAUAACAAUAAUAUUUUUUUAUAAAAACAGUAAUAAUUUUUUUAAAAAUAUGUUCAAAUUUGUUACUUGAAAAUAUUAUCGGCGGCGGCGGUGGAGCGGGGGAGGGUGCGGGGAUCAAGAUCGAGAUGUAGGGGGAAUCGAGAUCGAGAUGGAGGGGGAUCAAGAUCAAGUGUCCUCGUGAAUUCAAAAAGUGCCCAUGAAAUUUAAAAAUAUUCAUGAUAUCAAAAAGUGCCCAUGAAAUACAAUCGAGAAAUGAAGACUACGAUUUAAAUACAAUCGAUCUUAGCUAGCUAUCUGUUCACAAUCUUCUUGCCCUUCUUUUUCGCAAAUGGAGUUCUUUUGUGGAACGGACGUCCUUUAGGUAGGGUGGUCCUGCUUCUUCUUGUGGUGUGUGCUGCUACUUCAUCGUCGUCGUCAUGUUCGAUCUUCGGGUCGCCGUACUUGUCGAAGUCUUGCUCAUUGGCUACUCCAUCCAUUCCGAUGAUCUUCCUUUUGCCUCUCCUCACGACAACACGACUGGGCUUUGACGGGUCGGUAAUGAAGAAGCAUUGGUCCACUUGGGAAGCCAGUACCCAUGGCUCAUUUUUCGUGAUGACGUUUGCGCCCGCGGUCUUGGAUUUGGCUUCGGGUAUAACCAUGGUGGUGAAAUAUUGGUCUUCUUUUAGGACGCUCUUGGCCCAUCUGACACGGAACAUCAGCACCUUCUCUCCAGCGUAGCUCAGCUCCCAGAUCUCCUCGAUCCUUCCAUAGUAUCUGUCCUUGUCCUUACCGGUGUAGGAUACCAUCGUUACCCCGGAGUUUUGAUAACCAUCGCUCUUCAUGUCCUUGUCCUCGGUGUAGAAUGUGUAGCCGUUGAUAUCGUACGCCUCAUAGGUCAUCAGGUUGUGCUUGGCGCCCUGUGACAAGGCGAAUAUGAGUUGUUCUUCCACGGAAGAAUCUUCAUGUAAAGGGUACGACAGAAGCUUCUGCUUGAACCAACGCAUGAGACAUGAGUUGUGCUCUUUGAGUAUAUCUCCGUCCGUCCUCUGUUGGCCUCGGUCAUUGUACGUCUUCUCAAUAAAGGUUUUGUGCUCUACCACCCAAGGAUCGACCACGUCUAUGUGUUGUAGCGCGACUAGGUUUGCUCUUUCAAAGUCGGCGAGUCGACCCUCAAAGUCGACAUGCAUUUCGCGGCGACCCUCAUGGUGACCCCAUCCAGCGAGCCUGCCGAGGUGCCUGUUGACGGGCAGACCAACGGGGUUCUUGAUGCCUAGAUAAUUCGUGCAGUACGAGAUGCACUCUUGGUCAGAAAGCCCCUGGCUAUACUUCCCUCUGGACGUGACAUGUUGCAAACGUAUCCUUUGAUGACACCAUUCAUCCUUUCGAACGACAUCAUGCUGUGCAGGAACGUCGGCCCGAGUUGGGUGAUAUCCUCCAUGAUAUGGACCAGCAGAUGCACCAUAACAUCGAAGAAUGCGGGCGGGAAGUAUUUCUCAAGCUCGCAUAGUAUCACCACGAUCUCUUCCUGUAGCCUUCUGAGUUGCCUCACGCCAAUCGACUUCCGACAGAUGACGUCGAAAAAGUUGCAUAGGCCAAAUAGUGUUUCAUAGAUGUGCGCGUCCAUGAUCCCACGGAUUGCAACUGGAAGUAUCUGCGUCAUCAGCACGUGACAUUCGUGAGACUUCAUCCCGCUGAACUCCUGCUUCGCUGGGUCUAGGUAUCUGCUUAUCUUCCCCGCAUAACCGUAAGGAAGUUUUACUCGUAGGAGGCAGGUGAAAAACUGCUCGAUCUCCUCCUGACUUAGAGUGAAGCACGCGGGAGGGUAGUCAUUUCCGGUCUUCUUGGCCUUUUUGCCUUUGCGACGACUUUCUGUGUCCUGCUUCGCCUCAUCAUCAUCAUCAUCAUCAUCAUCAUCAUUAGCGUGAAGCUCCUGCCUGAUGCCCAUUGAUUUCAAGUCUGCCCUUGCUUUCGGCCCAUCUUUGGUCCUCUCUGGCAUGUUGAGCAGGGUGCCAAGCAGACUCUCGCACACGUUCUUCGUGAUAUGCAUGACAUCAAGGCUGUGAGGCACACGGUGGAUCUUCCAGUACGGCAAGUCCCAGAAAACAGACCUCGUUUUCCAUACCUUCAGUAGUGGCUCUGGCGCCUUUCGCUUCUUUCCCGGCUCAGGCGCCUUUUGCUUCUUUCCCGGCAGUGGGCAGUCUUUCCAAUUUUCAACAGCUCGUCUAUUUCCUCGCCGCUCCUCGUACACGGGCGUUUUUAGGGUUCGGUUUCACCAUCGAACAGAUCCUUGCGUUUCCUCCACGGGUCAUGGUCGCGAAGCCACCUUCGAUGUCCCAUGAACACGGUUUUCGAAGACCUGGGAUCUCUAUCUAGCUGGCGAUACGUUGUGUCAUCCAUGCACCUUACGCAUCCAGAAAAUCCGUGGACUACCUGCCCCGCGAGAUAUCCGUAACCGAGAUAGUCGUGCACCGUCGUGCACAGUGCGGCUCUCAUAGGGAAAUAAUCUUUCUCUGCGGCGUCCCACGUAUUGGCUGGCGUUUUCCACAGCAUGUCUAGCUCCUCCUUCAGCAGCCCCAGAUACAGAUUGAUGUCGUUCGCUGGUUGUUUCGGCCCUUCAGUUAGCAUACUCAUGUGAAUGUACUUCCUAUUCAUGCACAACCAGGGGGGAAGGUUGUACAUCCACACAAACACAGGCCAGGUGCUAUGUGUGCUUCUCUGGCUGCCAAACGGAUUGACUCCAUCGGUGCUCGCGCUCAGCACGAUGUUCCUUGGAUCCUUCCCAAAUUCUGGGUAUUCGAAGUUCAACGCUUGCCACUGGCUCGCAUCCUUAGGGUGACUCAGCAUCUUGUCUUUUUUAUUUAUCUCCGGAUCAUUUCCGUCAUCUUCCCGGUUCUUCUCCUCCCUAUCUGCGUGCCAACGUAGGAGCUUUGCUACCUUAGGGUUCGCGAAAUACCGCUGCAGACGAGGAGUGAUCGGAAAGUACCACACCGAUUUUUGAGGAGCUUUCUUCCUCUUCUUCUAUCGAGUGACGCCGCACACCGGACAUAUGGUAGACUCCGCGUGCUCGUCCCGAUAAAUGAUACAAUUGUUCAUGCACACAUGGUAUUUCUGUUGGGGAACGUAGUAAUUUCAAAAAAAUUCCUACGCACACGCAAGAUCAUGAUUAUGCAUAGCAACGAGAGGGGAGAGUGUUGUCUAUGUACCCUCGUAGACCGAAGCGGAAGCGUUAGCACAACGCGGUUGAUGUAGUCGUACGUCUUCACGAUCCGACCGAUCCAAGCACCGAACGUACGGAGCCUCCGAGUUCAGCACACGUUCAGCUCGAUGACGUCCCUCGAACUCCGAUCCAGCCGAGUGUCGAGGGAGAGUUCCGUCAGCAUGACGGCGUGGUGACGAUCUUGAUGUUCUACCAGCGCAGGGCUUCGCCUAAGCUUCGCGACGAUAUGACGGAGGUGGAAUAUGGUGGAAGGGGGCACCGCACACGGCUAAGGAAUGAUCCGUAGAUCAACUUGUGUGUUCAUGGGGUGCCCCCUGCCCCCGUAUAUAAAGGAGGGAGGGAGGAGGAGGGCCGGCCCUAGGAGGGGCGCGCGCCAUGGGGAGUCCUACUCCCACCGGGAGUAGGAUUCCCCCUUUCCUAGUCCAACUAGGGGUCCUUCCAUGUAUUAGGAGUAGGAGACUAGGAAGGGGAAGAGAGAAGGGAAGGAAGGAGGGGGUGCGGCCCCUCCCCCUAGUCCAAUUCGGAAUAGGCCUUGGGAGGCGCGCGGCCUGCCCUAGGCAGCCCCUCUCUCUUUGCCGCAGGGCCCAAUAAGGCCCAAUACUUCUCCCCGGCGAAUUCCCGUAACUCUCCGGUACUCCGAUAAAUACCCGAAUCACUCGGAACCUUUCCGAACUCCGAAUAUAGUCGUCCAAUAUAUCAAUCUUUACGUCUAGACCAUUUCGAGACUCCUCGUCAUGUCCCCGAUCUCAUCCGGGACUCCGAACUCCUUCGGUACAUCAAAACUCAUAAACUCAUAAUAUAACUGUCAUCGAAACCUUAAGCAUGCGGACCCUACGGGUUCGAGAACUAUGUAGACAUGACCUAGGACUAUUCUCGGUCAAUAACCAAUAGCGGGACCUGGAUGCCCAUAUUGGCUCCUACAUAUUCUACGAAGAUCUUUAUCGGUCAAACCGCAUAACAACAUACGUUGUUCCCUUUGUCAUCGGUAUGUUACUUGCCCGAGAUUCGAUCGUCGGUAUCCAAUACCUAGUUCAAUCUCGUUACCGGCAAGUCUCUUUACUCGUUACGUAAUGCAUCAUCCCGUAACCAACUCAUUGGUCACAUUGCUUGCAAGGCUUAUAGUGAUGUACAUUACCGAGAGGGCCCAGAGAUACCUCUCUUACAAUCGGAGUGACAAAACCUAAUCUCGAAAUACGCCAACUCAACAUGUACCUUCGGAGACACCUGUAGUACUCCUUUAUAAUCACCCAGUUACGUUGUGACGUUUGGUAGUACCCAAAGUGUUCCUCCGGUAAACGGGAGUUGCAUAAUCUCAUAGUUACAGGAACAUGUAUAAGUCAUGAAGAAAGCAAUAGCAACAUAUUAAACAAUCAAGUGCUAGGCUAACGGAAUGGGUCAAGUCAAUCACAUCAUUCUCCUAAUGAUGUGAUCCCGUUAAUCAAAUGACAACUCUUUUGUCCAUGGCUAGGAAACAUAACCAUCUCUGAUAAACGAGCUAGUCAAGUAGAGGCAUACUAGUGACACUAUGUUUGUCUAUGUAUUCACACAUGUAUUAUGUUUCCGGUUAAUACAAUUCUAGCAUGAAUAAUAAACAUUUAUCAUGAAAUAAGGAAAUAAAUAAUAACUUUAUUAUUGCCUCUAGGGCAUAUUUCCUUCAGUCUCCCACUUGCACUAGAGUCAAUAAUCUAGUUCACAUCGCCAUGUGAUUUAACACCAAUAUUCAUAUCUGUAUAUGAUUAACACCCAUAGUUCACAUCAUCAUGUGACCAAUAUCCAAAGGGUUUACUAGAGUCAAUAAUCUAGUUCACAUCGCUAUGUGAUUAACACCCAAAGAGUACUAAGGUGUGGUCAUGUUUUGCUCGUGAGAGAAGCUUAGUCAACGGGUCUGUCACAUUCAGAGCCGUAUGUAUUUUGCAAAUAUUUUAUGUCCACAAUGCUCUGCACGAAGCUACUCUAGCUAAUUGCUCCCACUUUCAAUAUGUAUCCAGGUUGAGACUUAGAGUCAUCUGGAUCAGUGUAAAAGUUUGCACUGAUGUAACUUUUACAACAAACUCUUUUAUCACCUCCAUAAUCGAGAAACAUCUCCUUAGUCCUUACUAAGGAUAUUCUUGACCAAUGUCCAGUGAUCUACUCCUAGAUCACUAUUGUACUCUUUUGCCAAAUUCAAAGCAAGGUAUACAAUAGGUCUGGUACAUAGCAUAACAUACUUUAUAGAACCUAUGACUGAGGCAUAGGGAAUGACUUUUCAUUCUCUUUCUAUUUUCUGCUGUGGUCGGGAUUUGAGUCUUACUCAAUUUCAUACCUUUGCAACACAGGAAAGAACUCUUUCUUUGACUGUUCCAUUUUGAACUAUUUCAAAAUCUUGCCAAGGUAUGUACUCAUUGGAAAUCUUAUCAAGCGUCUUGAUCUAUCUCAAUAGAUCUUGAUGCUCAAUAUGUAAGUAGCUUUUACUGAGGUCUUUUCCUUUUAAAGAACUCCUUUAAAACACUCUUUUAUGCUUUGCAGAAAAAAUUCUACAUCAUUUCUGAUCAACAAUAUGUCACUCACAUAUACUAAUCAGAAAAGCUGUAGUGCUCCCACUCACUUUAUUGUAAAUACAGGCUUCAUCGUAAGUCCAUAUAAAACUAUAUGCUUUGAUCAACUUAUCAAAGCGUAUAUUCCAACUCCGAGAUGCUUGCACCAGUCCAUAGAUGGAUCGCUGGAGCUUGCACAUUUUGUUAGCACCUUUAGGAUUGACAAAACCUUCUGGUUGCAUCAUAUACAACUCUUCUUUAAUAAAUCCAUUAAGGAAUGCAGUUUUGCCAGAUUUCAUAAAAUGUGGCAAUUGCUAACAUGAUUCAGACAGACUUAAGCAUCGAUACGAGUGAGAAAAUCUCAUCGUAUUCAACAUUUUGAACUUGUUGAAAACCUUUCGCAACAAGUCGAGCUUGGUAGAUAGUAACACUACUAUCAGUGUCCAUCUUCCUCUUGCAGAUCCAUUCAUUUAACAUGGCUUGCUGAUCAUCGAGCAAGUCAAUCAAAGUCCAUACUUUGUUGUCAUACAUGGAUCAUAUCUCAGAUUUUAUGGCCUCAAGCCAUCUCGCGGAAUCUGGGCUCAUCAUCGCUUCCUCAUAGUUCGUAGGUUCAUCAUGGUCUAGUAACAUGACUUCCAGAACAUGAUUACUACACCAUUCUGGUGCGGAUCUUACUCUGGAAAACCUACGAGGUUCUGUAGUAACUUGAUCUGAAGUUUCAUGAUCAAUAUCAUUAGCUUCCUCACUAAUUGGUGUAUUUGUCACAGGAACUGAUUUCUGUGAUGAACUACUUUCCAAUAAGGGAGCAGGUACAGUUACCUCAUCAAGUCCUACUUUCCUCCCACUCACUUCUUUCGACAGAAACUCCUUCUCUAGAAAGGAUCCAUUUUUAGCAACAAAUAUCUUGCCUUCGGAUCUGUGAUAGAAGGUGUACCCAACAAUUUCCUUUGGGUAUUCUAUGAAGACGCACUUCUCCGAUUUGGGUUUGAGCUUAUCAGGAUGAAACUUUUUCACACAAGCAUCGCAGCCCCAAACUUUAAGAAACGACAACUUGGGUUUCUUGCUAAACCACAGUUCAUAUAGUGUCGUCUCAACGGAUUUAGAUGGUGCCCUUUUAACGUGAAUGCAGCUGUCUCUAAUGCAUAACCCCAAAACGACAAUGGUAAAUCAGUAAGAAACAUCAUAGAUCGCACCAUAUCCAAUAAAGUACGAUUACAACGUUCGGACACACCAUAAUGUUGUGGUGUUCCAGGUGGCGUGAACUGUGAAACUAUUUCACAUUGUUUUAGUUGAAGACCAAACUCGUAACUCAAAUAUUCGUCUUUGCGAUCAGAUCGCAGAAACUUUAUGUUCUUGUUACGAUGAUUUUCUACUUCACUCUGAAAUUCUUUGAACUUUUCAAAUGUUUCAGACUUGUGCUUCAUCAAGUAGAUAUACCCAUAUCUUCUCAAAUCAUCUUGUGAAGGUUAGAAAAUAACGAUACUUGCCACGAGCCUUCAUACUCAUUGGUCUGCAUACAUCAGUAUGUAUUUAUUUCCAAUAAGUCGGUACCUCGUUCCAUUGUUCUGAAGAACGGAGUUUUAGUCAUCUUGCCCAAAAGGCAUGGUUCGCAAGCAUCAAAUGAUUCAUAACCAAGUGAUUCCGAAAAUCCAUCUUUAUGGAGUUUCUUCAUGCGCUUUACACCGAUAUGACCCAAACGGCAGUGCCACAAAUAAGUUGCACUAUCAUUAUUAACUUUGCAUCUUUUGGCUUCAAUAUUACGAAUAUGUGUAUCACACGAUCGAGAUCCAACAAACUAUUUUCAUUGGGUGUAUGACCAUAGAAGGUUUUAUUCAUGUAAACAGAACAACAAUUAUUCUCUGAUUUUAAAUGAAUAACCGUAUUGCAAUAAACAUGAUCAAAUCAUAUUCAUGCUCAACGCAAACGCCAAAUAACACUUAUAUAGGUUUAACACUAAUCCCGAAAUUAUAGGAAGUGUGCGAUGAUGAUCAUAUCAAUCUUGGAACUACUUCCAACAUUCAUCGUGACUUCCCCUUCAACUAGUCUUUGUUUAUUCUGUAACUCCUGUUUCGAGUUACUAAUCUUAGCAACCGAACAAGUAUCAAAUACUCAGGGGCUACUAUAAACACUAGUAAAGCACACAUCAAUAACCUGUAUAUCAAAUAUACCCUUGUUCACUUUGCCAUCAUUCUUAUCUACCAAAUAUUUAGGGCAUUUCCGCUUCCAGUGACCAUUCCCUUUGCAGUAGAAGCACUUAGUCUCAGGCUUAGGUCCAGACUUGGGCUUCUUCACUUGAGCAGCAACUUGCUUGCCGUUCUUUUGAAGUUCCCUUCUAUCCCUUUGCCCUUUUCUUGAAACUAGUGGUCUUGUUAACCAUCAACACUUGAUGCUCUUUCUUGAUUUCUACCUUCGUCGAUUUCAACAUCACGAAGAGCUUGGGAAUCGUUUACGUCAUCCCUUGCAUACUAUAGUUCAUCACGAAGUUCUAGUAACUUAGUGAUGGUGACUAGAGAACACUGUCAAUCACUAUCUUAUCUGGAAGAUUAACUCCCACUUGAUUCAAGCGAUUGUAGUACCCAGACAAUCUGAGCACUUGCUCACUAGUUGAGCGAUUCUCUUCCAUCUUUUAGCUAUAGAACUUGUUGGAGACUUAAUAUCUCUCAACUCGGGUAUUUGCUUGAAAUAUUAACUUCAAUUCCUGGAACAUCUCAUAUGGUCCAUGAUGUUCAAAACAUCUUUGAAGUCCCGAUUCUAAGCCAUAAAGCAUGGUGCACAAAACUAUCAAGUAGUCAUCAUAUUGAGCUAGCCAAACGUUCAUAACGUGUGCAUCUGCUCCUGCAAUAGGUUUGUCACUUAGCGGUGCAUUAAGGACAUAAUUCUUCUGUGCAGCAAUGAGGAUAAACCUCAGAUCACGGAUCCAAUCCGCAUCAUUGCUACUAACAUUUUUCAACACAAUUUUCUCUAGGAACAUAUCAAAAUAAACAUAUGAAAGCAACAACGCGAGCUAUUGAUCUACAACAUAAUUUGCAAAAUACUACCAGGACUAAGUUCAUGAUAAAUUAAAGUUCAAUUAAUCAUAUUACUUAAGAACUCCCACUUAGACAGACAUCUCUCUGGUCAUCUAAGUGAUCACGUGAUCCAAAUCAACUAAACCAUGUCCGAUCAUCACGUGAGAUGGAGUAGUUUUCAAUGGUGAACAUCACUAUGUUGAUCAUAUCUACUAUAUGAUUCACGCUCGACCUUUCGGUCUCUGUGUUCCGAGGCCAUAUCUGUAUAUGCUAGGCUCGUCAAGUAUAACCUGAGUAUUCCGCGUGCGCAACUGUUUUGCACCCGUUGUAUUUGAACGUAGAGCCUAUCACACCCGAUCAUCACGUGGUGUCUCAGCACGAAGAACUUUCGCAACGGUGCAUACUCAGGGAGAACACUUCUUGAUAAUUAGUGAGAGAUCAUCUUAAAAUGCUACCGUCAAUCAAAGCAAGAAUAAGAUGUAUAACAGAUAAACAUCAUAUGCAAUCAAAAUAUGUGACAUGAUAUGGCCAUGAUCAUCUUGCGCCUUUGAUCUCCAUCUCCAAAGUACUGUCAUGAUCUUUAUCGUCACCGGCACGACACCAUGAUCUUCAUCAUCUUGAUCUAUAUCAAUGUGUUGUCACAUGGUCGUCUCGCCAACUAUUGCUCUUGCAACUAUUGCUAUCGCAUAGCGAUAAAGUAAAGCAAUUAUUUGGCACUUGCAUCUUAUGCAACAAAGAGACAACCAUAGAGCUUCUGCCAGUUACCGAUGACUUCAAAAAAACAUGAUCAUCUCAUACAACAACUUAUAUCUCAUCACGUCUUGACCAUAUCACAUCACAACAUGCCCUGCAAAAACAAGUUAGACGUCCUCUACUUUGUUGUUGCAAAUUUUACGUGGCUGCUACGGGCUUAGCAAGAACCGUUCUUACCUACGCAUCAAAACCACAACGAUAGUUUGUCAAAUAGACUCCGUUUUAACCUUCACAAGGACCGGGCGUAGCCACACUCGGUUCAACUAAAGUUGGAGAAACUGACACCCGCUAGUCACCUGUGUGCAAAGCACGACGGUAAAACCAGUCUCGCAUAAGCGUACGCGUAAUGUCGGUCCGGGCCGCUUCAUCCAACAAUACCGCUGAACCAAAGUAUGACAUGCUGGUAGGCAGUAUGACUUAUAUCGUCCACAACUCAUUUGUGUUCUACUUGUGCAUAUAACAUCAACGCAUAAAACCUAGGCUCUGAUACCACUGUUGGGGAACGUAGUAAUUUCAAAAAAUUUCCUACGCACACGCAAGAUCAUGGUGAUGCAUAGCAACGAGAGGGGAGAGUGUUGUCUAUGUGCCCUUGUAGACCGAAGCGGAAGCAUUAGCACAACACGGUUGAUGUAGUCGUACGUCUUCACGAUCCGACCGAUCCAAGCACCGAACGUACGGAGCCUCCGAGUUCAGCACACGUUCAGCUCGAUGACGUCCCUCGAACUCCGAUCCAGCGGAGUGUCGAGGGAGAGUUCCGUCAGCACGACGGCGUGAUGACGAUCUUGAUGUUCUACCGGCGCAGGGCUUCGCCUAAGCUUCGCGACGAUAUGACCGAGGUGGAAUAUGGUGGAAGGGGGCACCGCACACGGCUAAGGAACGAUCCGUAGAUCAACUUGUGUGUUCAUGGGGUGCCCCCUGCCCCCGUAUAUAAAGGAGGGAGGGAGGAGGAGGGCCGGCCCUAGGAGGGGCGCGCGCCAUGGGGAGUCCUACUCCCACCGGGAGUAGGAUUCCCCCUUUCCUAGUCCAACUAGGGGUCCUUCCAUGUAUUAGGAGUAGGAGACUAGGAAGGGGAAGAGAGAAGGGAAGGAAGGAGGGGGUGCGGCCCCUCCCCCUAGUCCAAUUCGGACUAGGCCUUGGGGGGGCGCGCGGCCUGCCCUAGGCAGCCCCUCUCUCUUUCCCGCAGGCCCAAUAAGGCCCAAUACUUCUCCCCGGCGAAUUCCCGUAACUCUCCGGUACUCCGAUAAAUACCCGAAUCACUCGGAACCUUUCCGAACUCCGAAUAUAGUCGUCCAAUAUAUCGAUCUUUACGUCUCGACCAUUUCGAGACUCCUCGUCAUGUCCCCGAUCUCAUCCGGGACUCCGAACUCCUUCGGUACAUCAAAACUCAUAAACUCAUAAUAUAACUGUCAUCGAAACCUUAAGCGUGCGGACCCUACGGGUUCGAGAACUAUGUAGACAUGACCUAGAACUAUUCUCGGUCAAUAACCAAUAGCGGGACCUGGAUUCCCAUAUUGGCUCCUACAUAUUCUACGAAGAUCUUUAUCGGUCAAACCGCAUAACAACAUACGUUGUUCCCUUUGUCAUCGGUAUGUUACUUGCCCGAGAUUCGAUCGUCGGUAUCCAAUACCUAGUUCAAUCUCGUUACCGGCAAGUCUCUUUACUCGUUACGUAAUGCAUCAUCCCGUAACCAACUCAUUGGUCACAUUGCUUGCAAGGCUUAUAGUGAUGUGCAUUACCGAGAGGGCCCAGAGAUACCUCUCCGACAAUCGGAGUGACAAAACCUAAUCUCGAAAUACGCCAACUCAACAUGUACCUUCGGAGACACCUGUAGUACUCCUUUAUAAUCACCCAGUUACGUUGUGACGUUUGGUAGUACCCAAAGUGUUCCUCCGUAAACGGGAGUUGCAUAAUCUCAUAGUUACAGGAACAUGUAUAAGUCAUGAAGAAAGCAAUAGCAACAUACUAAACGAUCAAGUGCUAGGCUAACGGAAUGGGUCAAGUCAAUCACAUCAUUCUCCUAAUGAUGUGAUCCCGUUAAUCAAAUGACAACUCUUUUGUCCAUGGCUAGGAAACAUAACCAUCUCUGAUAAACGAGCUAGUCAAGUAGAGGCAUACUAGUGACACUAUGUUUGUCUAUGUAUUCACACAUGUAUUAUGUUUCCGGUUAAUACAAUUCUAGCAUGAAUAAUAAACAUUUAUCAUGAAAUAAGGAAAUAAAUAAUAACUUUAUUAUUGCCUCUAGGGCAUAUUUCCUUCAAUUUCACGUGCGGUAAAUCCAGAGGACACACGAUUUUCUUCACCUCCUCGAAACUGGUCGGGCACUUGUUCCCCUUGGGAAGACGUUCAUGCCAGAAUGACAUGUUCUCGUCGAAGCAUGCGUCGGUCAUUUUGUGUUUUACCUUCAUCUCCAGAGCCAUGAGCGUUACUUUCAGGCGGGUAUCCUCGGGCCUGCAUCCUUCAUACAAUGGAGUAACCGUGUCUAUCUCCAGUUGAUCCAGCUUGGCUUUCUCUCGGGCGGCAGCUCUUGCGUUAUCCGUCUGCUUGAGAAGCAGCUCUUGAAUAUGAGGGUUCUGCACCCAGCCUCCAUCGUCGUAUGCGUCGGCAUCUUCAUCUUCAUGAUCAUGCCCUUCGUCUUGAUCUUCCCCCAUCAUCAUUUACGACAUCUUCUACAUGAUGACUGUGUACAGCAUCGCCGCGGUGGUACUUGUCUUGUUGCCCUUCCUCAUUUCUUGCCCGGCCCCCAUGGACGACUUCAUAGUCAUGUUCAUCACCUUGCCACCGAUAGCCAUCCAUGAAACCACGCAAGAGCAGGUGGUCCUGCACCUGCCCGGAAUCCGGGUCCGCAAUAAGGCUCUUCAGCUUGCAUCUUCGACACGGACAUCUUAUCUCCGUCUCGUUCUUUUGAAGCAUCUCGGCCUUCACGGAGCUCAAAAACCUAUUCACGAUGCCUUCAGUCAUCGUGCGGACCAUGGUCGCCUGCGGGGUAGAGCAAAACGAUAUUUUAGAACCAAGAAAAAAUUUGGCAUGACCUUCCCUAAAAAUAGGACCAAAAAAUGCAUAGUGCCAAAAUUCUCGCCGAAACGGAAAUGAAUCAAAACAUUCCGGCAAAAUAUUGGCAACUAUCGCAUUUCAAAUACCGGUACCUUCAAACACAAACAUAUAUGCAACACCACAAACACAUGCAACACCACAAACAUACAUAGAUCUAGCUAGGCCACAAAAAGUGCAUGUGCACGUUGUUGGAGCGAGCUAGGGAGAAAAAAAGUAGAUCUACAUCAUGAAGAUAGCUUUCCCCUUACUUACCUAUCAAAAAAAGGUAAUUUCACCACUUAAUUUUGAUGAAUCUAUGGUGGAAAUGAGGUGAGGAGGAGGAGGCAGCCGAGACAAGCUUGGAGGAGGAGGUGGAGAGAAUGAAGUGGGGAAAGUGAGUGGGUAGGUGGGCUGUCCAAAAUAUCUUGUUGGUCCCAGGUUACUAAUGGCGCACCACCACAUAAUGUGCCAUUAGUAACCCUAGUUACUAAUGGCGCACCUGCAGGUGGUGCGCCAUUAGUAGGUUUGCAAAAAAAGUAAAAAGAUAUAUAUAUAUAUAUAUAUAUAUACUAAUGGUGCACUGUCUUGGCCGUGCGCCAUUACUAGUUCUAACUAGUAAUGGCGCACUUUGUCAUCAUGCGCCAUUAGUUUGUAUGGAAAAAUGGGAAAAAAAUCAAUAGUAGUGGCGCACCGUGAGUCUGGUGCGCUAUUAGUGUCUUCCACUCUAAUGGCGCACCAGCAACUAGUGCGCCAUUAGUAUAUAUAGUAGUGGCGCACUGUUUACCUGGUGCGCCAUUAGAAUCAGUCCAUCUAUAGCCCUUUUCCUAGUAGUGAUAGGUAUCUCCUGAUUUGAUGAACUUGACAUAUCCUUCAUAGGAAAUAUAUCCUCAAAGAAAGUUGCAUCAUUAGACUCCAUAAUCGUACCAACAUGCAUGUCGGAUACCUCAGAUUUUAUUAUCAAAAAUCUAUAGCCAAUGCUAUGAAAAGCAUAGCCCAGAAGAACGCAAUCCACGGUUUUUGGUCCAAGCUUGCGCUUCUUGGGAAUUGGUAUAUUGACUUUCGCCAAACAACCCCAAGAACGUAGGUAAGAGAGUUUCAACCUUUUCCUUUCCCAUUCCUCAAAUGGAGUCAUGGUUUUAUGCUUUGUGGGAACUUGGUUUAGGAUAUGACACGCGGUCAUUAGCGCCUCCCCCCACCAUUCCUUGGAAAGACCCGAUGUGUCUAACAUGGCGUUAACCAAAUCAGUUAGAGUUCAGUUCUUUCUUUCGGCCACCCCAUUAGACUGAGGUGAGUAGGGAGGCGUCCUCUCAUGGAUUAUACCAUGUUCCGCACAAAACAGAUCAAAUUCAUUGGAAAAAUACUCCACCAUGAUCGGACCUAAGCCGUUUAAUUUUUCGAUCAAGUUGGUUCUCUGCCUCAGCUUUAUAGUUUUUGAAGAAAAUUAAAGCCUCAUCUUUUGAUUUCAGAAGAUACACAUAACAACAUCUAGUGGAGUCAUCAAUCAACAUCAUGAAAUAUCUCUUUCCACCUUUUGUCAACACACCAUUCAUCUCACAAAGAUCAGAUUGUAUAAGCUCUAGUGGCGCCAAGUCUCUUGCCUCUGCAGUCUUAUGGGACUUGCGAAGUUGUUUAGCUUGCACACAUACUUGGCACUUAGAGCCUUUGACGGUAGAGAUUUCCGGAAUUAAAUUCAUAUUGGCUAGCCGCGUCAUGCAACCAAAGUUAAUAUGACAAAGUCGUGAAUGCCAAAUAUCCGACUCAUUAUUGUGGCAAACAUUAUUAAUAACUGAAGGAAAUAUGCCCUAGAGGCAAUAAUAAAGUUAUUAUAUAUUUCCUCAUAUCAUGAUAAAUGUUUAUUAUUCAUGCUAGAAUUGUAUUAAUCGGAAACAUAAUACAUGUGUGAAUAUAUAGACAAACAGAGUGUCACUAGUAUGCCUCUACUUGACUAGCUUGUUAAUCAAAGAUGGUUAUGUUUCCUAACCAUGAACAAGGAGUUGUUAUUUGAUUAACAAGGUCACAUCAUUAGUUGAAUGAUCUGAUUGACAUGACCCAUUCCAUUAGCUUAGCACACGAUCGUUUAGUAUGUUGCUAUUGCUUCCUUCAUGACUUAUACAUGUUCCUAUGACUAUGAGAUUAUGCAACUCCCGUUUACCGGAGGAACACUUUGUGUGCUACCAAACGUCACAACGUAACUGGGUGAUUAUAAAGGUGCUCUACAGGUGUCUCCGAAGGUACUUGUUGGGUUGGCGUAUUUCGAGAUUAGGAUUUGUCACUCCGAAUGUCGGAGAGGUAUCUCUGGGCCCUCUCGGUAAUACACAUCACUUAAGCCUUGCAAGCAUUUCAACUAAUGAGUUAGUUGUGAGAUGAUGUAUUACAGAACGAGUAAAGAGACUUGCCGGUAACGAGAUUGAACUAGGUAUUGGAUACCGACGAUCGAAUCUCGGGCAAGUAACAUACCGAGGACAAAGGGAACGACGUAUGUUGUUAUGCGGUCUGACCGAUAAAGAUCUUCGUAGAAUAUGUAGGAACCAAUAUGGGCAUCCAGGUCCCGCUAUUGGUUGUUGACCGGAGAUGUGUCUCGGUCAUGUCUACAUUGUUCUCGAACCGUAGGGUCCGCACGCUUAAGGUUUCGAUGAAGGUUAUAUUAUGAGUUUAUGAGUUUUGAUGUACCAAAGGAGUUCGGAGUCCCGGAUGAGAUCGGGGACAUGACGAGGAGUCUCGAAAUGGUCGAGACGUAAAGAUCGAUAUAUUGGACGACUAUAUUCGGAGUUCGGAAAGGUUCCGAGUCAUUCGGGUAUUUAUCGGAGUACCGGAGAGUUACGGGAAUUCGCGGGGGAGAAGUAUUGGGCCUUAUGGGCCAUACGGGAAAGAGAGAGGGGCUGCCCUAGGCAGGCCGCGCGCCCCCCCUUGCCCUAGUCAGAAUUGGACUAAGGGGAGAGGGGCCGCACCCCCUCCUUCCUUCCCUUCUCCCUCCCCUGUCCUAGUCUCCUUCUCAUAAUACAUGGAAGGUCUCCUAGUUGGACUAGGAAAAGGGGAAUCCUACUCCCGGUGGGAGUAGGACUCCCCAGGGCGCGCCAUAGUAGAGGGCCGGCCCUCCCCUCCUCCACUCCUUUAUAUACGGGGGCAGGGGGCACCCCAUGGACACACAAGUUGAUCCUUGAGAUCGUUCCUUAGCCGUGUGCGGUGCCCCCCUCCACCAUAUUUCACCUCGGUCAUAUCGUAGCGGUGCUUAGGCGAAGCCCUACGUCGGUAGAACAUCAAGAUCGUCACCACACCGUCGUGCUGAUGGAACUCUCUCUCCCCGGAGCUUUGCUGGAUCGGAGCCCGAGGAGCGUCACCGAGCUGUACGUGUGUCAAGAACUCGGAGGCGCCGGAGUAAUGGCGCUGGGAUCGGUUGGAUCGCGAGGAGAACUUACGACUACUUCCUCUACGUUGUGAUCGCUUCCGCUUCGGUCUACGAGGGUACGUAGACAACACUCUCCCCUCUCGUUUCUAUACGUCACUAUGAUCUUGCGUGUGCGUUGGAAAUUUUUUGAAAUUAGUACGUUCCCCAACAGUGGCAUCCGAGCCUAGGUUUUUAUGGUUUGAUGUUUUGCACGAGUAGAACACAAGUGAGUUGUGGACGAUACAAGUCAUACUGCCUACCAGCAUGUCACACUUUGGUUCAGCGGUAUUGUAAGAUCAAGCGGCCCGGACCGACAUUACGCGUAUGCUUACGCGAGACUGGUUUCACCGUUACGAGCACUCGUGCUUAAAGGUGGCUGGCGGGUGUAUGUCUCUCUCACUUUAGUUGAACCGAGUGUGGCUACGCCCGGUCCUUGUGAAGGUUAAAAUGGAGUCUAUUUGACAAACUAUCGUUGUGGUUUUUGAUGCAUAGGUAAGAACGGUUCUUGCUAAGCCCGUAGCAGCCACGUAAAAUUUGCAACAACAAAGUAGAGGACGUCUAACUUGUUUUUGCAGGGCAUGUUGUGAUGUGAUAUGGUCAAGACGUGAUGCUAUAUUUUAUUGUAUGAGAUGAUCAUGUUUUGUAACCGAAGUUAUCGGCAACUGGCAGGAGCCAUAUGGUUGUCGCUUUAUUGUAUAAAAUGCAAACGCCCUGUAAUUGCUUUACUUUAUCACUAAGCGGUAGCGAUAGUCGUAGAAGUAAUAGAUGGCGUAAACGACAACGAUGCUACGAUGGAGAUCAAGGUGUCGCGCCGGUGACGAUGGUGAUCACAAUGGUGCUUCGGAGAUGGAGAUCACAAGCACAAGAUGAUGAUGGCCAUAUCAUAUCACUUAUAUUGAUUGCAUGUGAUGUUUAUCCUUUAUGCAUCUUAUUUUGCUUUGAUUGACGGUAGCAUUUUAAGAUGAUCUCUCACUAAAAUUAUCAAGUAGUGUUCUCCCUGAGUAUGCACCGUUGCCAAAGUUCGUCGUGCCCAGACACCACAUGAUGAUCGGGUGUGAUAAGCUCUACGUCCAUCUACAACGGGUGCAAGCCAGUUUUGCACACGCAGAAUACUCAGGUUAUACUUGACGAGCCUAGCUUAUGCAGAUAUGGCCUCGGAACACGGAGACCGAAAGGUCGAGCGUGAAUCAUAUAGUAGAUAUGAUCAACAUAAGAUGUUCACCAUUGAAAACUACUCCAUCUCACGUGAUGAUCGGUUAUGGUUUAGUUGAUUUGGAUCACGUGAUCACUUAGAUGACUAGAGAGAUGUCUGUCUAAGUGGGAGUUCUUAAGUAAUAUGAUUAAUUGAACUUAAAUUUAUCAUGAACUUAGUCCUGGUAGUAUUUUGCAAAUUAUGUUGUAGAUCAAUAGCUCGCGUUGUUGCUUUCAUAUGUUUGUUUUUGAUAUGUUCCUAGAGAAAAUUGUGUUGAAAAAUGUUAGUAGCAAUGAUGCGGAUUCGAUCCGUGAUCGGAGGUUUAUCCUCAUUGCUGCGCAGAAGAAUUAUGUCCUUGAUGCACUGCUAGGUGACAUACCUAUUGCAGGAGCAGAUGCAGACGUUAUGAACGUUUGGUUAGCUCAAUAUGAUGACUACUUGAUAGUUUUGUGCACCAUGCUUUAUAGCUUAGAAUCGGGACUUCAAAGAUGUUUUGAACGUCAUGGACCAUAUGAGAUGUUCCAGGAGUUGAAGUUAAUAUUUCAAGCAAAUACCCGAGUUGAGAGAUAUGAAGUCUCCAACAAGUUCUAUAGCUAAAAGAUGGAGGAGAAUCGCUCAACUAGUGAGCAUGUGCUCAGAUUGUCUGGGUACUACAAUCGCUUGAAUCAAGUGGGAGUUAAUCUUCCAGAUAAGAUAGUGAUUGACAGAAUUCUCUAGUCACCAUCACCAAGUUAGUAGAACUUCGUGAUGAACUAUAGUAUGCAAGGGAUGAUGAAAAUGAUUCCCGAGUUUUUCAUGAUGAUGAAAUCGAUGAAGGUAGAAAUCAAGAAAAAACAUCAAGUGUUGAUGGUUAACAAGACCACUAGUUUCAAGAAAAGGGCAAAGGGAUAGAAGGGAACUUCAAAAAGAAAGGCAAGCAAGUUGCUGCUCAAGUGAAGAAGCCCAAGUCUGGACCUAAGCCUGAGACUAAGUGCUUCUACUGCAAAGGGACUGGUCACUGGAAGCAGAACUACCCCAAGUAUUUGGCGGAUAAGAAGGAUGGCAAAGUAAACAAAGGUAUAUUUGAUAUACAUGUUAUUGAUGUGUACUUUACUAGUGUUUAUAGCAACCCCUCGGUAUUUGGUACUGGAUCAGUUGCUAAGAGUAGUAACUCGAAACGGGAGUUGCAGAAUAAACAGAAACUAGUUAAGGGUGAAGUGACGAUGUGUGUUGAAAGUAAUUUCAAAAUUGAUAUGAUUAUCAUCGCACACUCCCUAUACUUUCGGGAUUAGUGUUGAACCUAAAUAAAUGUUAUUUGGUGUUUGCGUUGAGAAUGAAUAUGAUUUGAUCGUGUUUAUUGCAAUACGGUUAUUCAUUUAAGUAAGAGAAUAAACUGUUGUUCUGUUUACAUGAAUAAAACCUUAUAUGUUUACACACCCAAUGAAAAUGGUUCAUUGGAUCUCGAUCGUAGUGAUACACAUAUUCAUAAUAUUGAAACCAAAAGAUGCAAAGUUAAUAAUGAUAGUGCAACUUAUUUGUGGCACUGCCGUUUAGGUCAUAAUGGUGUAAAGCGCAUGAAGAAACUCCAUGCUGAUGGGAUUUUGGAAUCACUUGAUUAUGAAUCACUUGAUGCUUGCGAACCAUGCCUCAUGGGCAAGAUGACUAAGACUCCGUUCUCCGGAACAGUGGAGCGAGCAACUGACUUAUUGGAAAUAAUACAUACUGAUGUAUGCGAUCCAAUGAGUGUUAAGGCUCGCGACGGGUAUCGUUAUUUUCUGACCUUCACAGAUGAUUUGAGCAGAUAUGGGUAUAUCUACUUGAUGAAACAUAAGUCUGAAAUAGUUGAAAGGUUCAAAGAAUUUCAGAGUGAAGUGGAAAAAUCAUCGUGACAAGAAAAUAAGGUUUCUACGAUUUGAUCGCGGAGACGAAUAUUUGAGUUACGAGUUUGGUCUUCAAUUAAAACAAUGUGGAAUAGUUUCACAGCUCACGCCACCUGGAACACCACAAUGUUAUGGUGUGUCCAAACAUCGUAACCGCACUUUAUUGGAUAAAGUGCAAUCUAUGAUGUUUCUUACUGAUUUACCAAUAUCGUUUUGGGAUCAUGCAUUAGAGACAGCUGCAUUCACGUUAAAUUGGGCACCAUCUAAAUCCGUUGAGACGACACUAUAUGAACUGUGGUUUAGCAAGAAACCCAAGUUGUCGUUUCUUAAAGUUUGGAGUUGCGAUGCUUAUGUGAAAAGUUUCAUCCUGAUAAGCUCAAACCCAAAUCGGAGAAGUGCGUCUUCAUAGAAUACCCAAAGGAAAUUGUUGGGUACACCUUCUAUCACAGAUCCGAAGGCAAGAUAUUCGUUGCUUAAGAUGGAUCCUUUCUAGAGAAGGAGUUUCUCUCGAAAGAAGUGAGUGGGAGGAAAGUAGAACUUGAUGAGGUAACU
rnacentral:lncRNA from 1 species